rnacentral:lncRNA from 1 species
AAAUAAUUUUUGUAGUAUAAAAGCUAAAUAAAUUCAUACAUACUGUAAUACAGAUAACCAAAGUAUAAAAUUUAAUUUACAGUGACACGUAGGCCCACGAACGACCAAAAGUAAUGAAGGCUAUGAACCUACAGUUUUUGAGGAUGCAAGUCCAACUAUAGCCCUCAACAAAGUGAGCUAUCUACCGACUAUCCUAAGCCUGAAAGGGGUGGAAAUGAGGGUGGUGAGAUUAUAUAAUCCCAAUGAGUAAACAAAUACCAUCUAAAAUAUCUAAAACUGAGUAAAUGGAGACAAAUAAAAUAGUUUAACAUACUAUAAUUCAUCACCUUUCAACUCAUUUCAACCAAAUAAAAUCAAUACAUAUAAAUCGAGUAAUCAACAUGGCUUAUGAAUUUCUUAAAACUUUGGCUCGUGCCAAAAUCAUUCUCAUACUUAGUUAUCAGGGAUACCUUGGCCGAGGGAUAUCCCAACCGAGUCCGCCAAGGUUGUUAAAAAGUUAUGUAUGCAUAAAUCAUGUUUUUAUUUUAAAAACAUAGUCGUUCCUUGGCAUUGGCUGAGUUCACCCUCACGUGGUGGUUUAGCAUGAAGUGAAAACUAAGGUGUUAACCUCAAGAGUUACCCAUUCGCGUCUCUCAUACUAAGGUAUGAAUAUAAUAGGGUUACCGUGCCCCCUCUAAUAUGUUGGUCCACGGAACCCGUCCACUGCAGCGACUAAUCAAUAACCCAUCAAUUCAAUAAAAUUUAACAGCAUGACAUGGCCAUUUUAUCAUUAUCCAGCCUAUCAAGGCAAACAAUAGUUUAUACAUUUUUAACACAAAUACCAAUUCAGCCAUUCAUGCCAAUAUUGCCAUAAGCCAAUCAAUUAGAACCAUAAAUUCACAAUACAUCAAAUGGUUUCCAAUUACUCUAUUUUCAAAGCCAUCAUUCAAUUUCAAAAUAAAUUAUAAAAUCAUUUCAUUUAAACACAUUUUGUUUAUAAAACAUAAAGAUUUACCAUUUAAACUCAUUUUCCAUAAAAUUACAAAAUCAGAUAAAAACCACUUUAAAUAAUUAAGACGAUAGUAAGGUUACUCACUAUUUCAGAAGUCGAAUUUCGAGUACUUCGAUUCUUGAUCCUCGGGUACUAGCUCUUUACUUUUGCCAGAACGUUCACCACCUAGACAUAAUGCACAAUAAACCAUUUACUACAUUUGUGCUAAAUUGUUAUAAAAUCAAUUCAGGCUCUAUACUAAUGCAUGAAAUAGGAUGUAAAUUGUUCGGAUUAUCAUCAAAAUACAGUGUUCUACACAAAUUCAAUUGUGUACCUAAAUAAAACGGUAUUGGCCUAAUUCGAUCUAUCACACGAUUAAUUGGCCAAUAUGUCCAAUUUAACUCCAAUUAACUCCAUUUUUCUUCCAAUUCUCCAAAUCAUCAAACACAAGUUAAAUAACUUGAAAUAUGGUAAAAUCAUCCUCACAUUUUUUCUUGGAAAAUUCGGCCAUGGUGGGUGCAUCAAUACUAUGAUUUUUCCUAUAUUCUCACACCAUAAAUCACUAAUUCCUAACCAGAUCACUGGAAAUAAAAUCAAAAUCAUCCUCAAUAUUCCACAUGGAGAAUUCGGCCAAUGAUGGGUGAUGGGAGAAAAUGAAUUUUUCUUGUUGGCUUUUCAUUCUACACAUCACUAACUAACUAAAAACACUAAAUAUCUUAAAAUCUAACCAAAUCAAGCAUCAAAACUCCUCCCCCCAUGUCUAGCCAGCAAGGGUAUCCCCAUGCAAACUUGAUUCUCAACCGUGGAAAAUGAAAAAGAAUGCAUAAGAAAGGUAGAUCACAAGUUAUAAUUGAAAAAUCUUACCUUUUGUCGCUUGUUUCCUUGAAUUUUCGCACUUUUCCCUUUUUGUUCUUCUUUUCUUCCUUUGGUCGGCCAUAUGAAGAGAAAUGGGCUGAUUUUGUGCAAAUUUAUAAGGAAAAUAAUAAAUGGACGAUAAUUUGACACAUGUCACCAUUCCAUUGGUCCAUGUGUCAUACUUACCCAUUAAGCAAUCUAUCUCUACCACUUAAAUUUCCUCAAUUAUCUAUGAUAAUAUUGGGUAAAAUCUAUGUGCUGAACAUGUGUUGGGUGGUGUAAAAUUACAAUUUUGCCCUUGGGAUGGCAAAAUGACUAUUUUACCUCUAUGCUCGAAAGAAUGCUGGAAUUUAAAUUUUUCACUUCUCAAACUCAAAUUAUGUUCUAAAUAGUCAAUCUUGAUCAAAAACUUCUUCCAACAUUUCAAUUUUAACCUCGAGUAGCAAAAUGACCAUUUUGCCCUUAGAUCAUGAAAAUUUCAAUUUGACUCCAAAUCGGUUUUCGAACUCCGAAUCACCAUUUUAAGUCAUUCUAGGAUUUUAAAAUUCUCAAUUUCAUCUUAAAAUCUCUAUUUGAACUAGUUUGAGGCUUAAAUCAACUUAAUUGUACCAUUUGGUACAAUACCGUCCUUUAACGAUUUCCAAGGUACCCAAGUAAGCAAACAUGCAUUCUUAUGUAGGAAUGGCAUAAUAAACAUAUUAUAGAGUCAGGCUUGACACGUGUGUUCAACAAAAAGGACUCUAGACUUCCUGCGGAGCAACCAUAGCAAAUGUGUAGCUACCGAAUGCCAUUGAUACCUACCAACAAAUGGAUACAAGUCUAUGGGGAUACCUCGACCUAAUUACCGGCUGCCUUUUGAUAUGAAAACAUGAAGUUGAAAACGGUGAGUAUAAACCCAGUGAGUGAACAAGGAAAGGAACAAGCAAACAAUAGGGAAGACUUAAAGAAAUCAUGAUGCAUUUAUCUUUAAAACAAUGCAAUUUAGUUUAGUUCUUAUUAAAACCCCUCAUGUAAACCCCAAAUGAGUAAAUCACUUGAUAAAAAGGGUCCAUGCAUAACAAAGGUGUUGAAGAGUGAAAACUUUAGUAGCAUUCAUGCAAUUCAAGUCAAGUAAACGACGGGUCCUCGCUGCAGCGGAAAGGCAUUCUCGUCGAGGAUUUCUUAGCUGGCUGAGGGUUUUUCACCAAACCUCCUCAUUCCAAAUUUAAUUCAUUAAUUCCUUAAUGUUGGAAGUCCAUGCUCAACUAUGGUACCAAAGAAGCGAAAAAUAGGGCAGCAAUCAAACAAGAUAAAAACCAAGACAGAAAGUUUCUCGUUAUAGUAAAAUUCACACCGUAAAACAGAAAGUUUCUGUUGCAGCGAGAAGCUUCAGUAAUUUUCUCGCUGCAGCGAGAAUCAGGCCAACAGAAUCCUCAAAACCUGAGAGUUUUUCGUUGCAGCGAGAAACAGGACAUCAAUAACAAGUUUUCAUUCCCUCAAGAGAAAGCCAUUUAGUUGCAAAGACAAAUCAACUUGAACAUGUUUUAGAAAUUUUCUAAAGAUCAACAUGCAAGAUUCACUUAUACAAAGCCAUAUACCAUACUCAUGAACUUUCCAUAACACACAUAUCUAUGUUUGUAUAUAUAUAUAUAUCCAUCAUCAUGCACACCCUCCCAUCAUCAUCAGCUCCUAUGCACUCCCCACUAGCACAUGGCUGAGUCAUCAUCGGCUUAUACGUACUCCCACUCGCACAUAGUUGGGUCAGCAUCGACUUAUGUGCACUCCCACUCACACAUAGCUGGGUCAAUAUCAUUACACAAUGUUAUUCAUCAAUGCACAACACAUAUUCGUAUGUAUAUAUAUAUAUAUAUCAACAUGAUGUAAGAGCACAUAGGUUCGUCCUUUUUACAUAGUUCACAUUUUCACAACAUCAAAACAAUUUAUCAAGGGCUUGUUCCCCGGCACACAUUUUUAAAGAAAAGUUGGAAUAAAUUAUUCAAACGUUUCAUAUAAAUACAAUAUAUCUCCCAAAGUGAUUUUAAAAUGCAAGUUCACUCAUCGAUAUUUUGUUGAACCUCUAAUCGGCUCUAACUUCCCUAAUGGUCCAAUUGGGGUUGAGGGGCCUCGUUGGAACCUGUUACACACCAAAAACAUUACAGCCAAUCCAAUUUACAUUAAUAUUGCUCCAAAGCUAUUUUCCAAGUCAAGCUUCAAUAGCCCUUCCUAUCUACCACUAAAUGGCUAUUAUUUACACUACUCUAGUCACACUAAGAAUGAUUAAUCAAUCUCAACAAUAAAACACUCACAAGUCAAAUUACUAGACAAUAUCAAUAACUAAAAUAUCAACUCAAUUUCACCACUCACCUUGUUAGAUUUGUAAUUGGAUUCCUCCUCAAGAAUUCCCAAACUAUUAUAAAAAGUCUUCCUCCUCAAGAAUUCCCAAACUAUUAUAAAAAGUCUUUUUUCUCUCUCUAAAACACCUAACUAGUGAGAGAAAGUAUUGGUUUAAGACUUUGGAGGGUUUUUAAAGUGAGAGGGUGAAAGAGCACAAGGGUUCGAUGCAAAAGUGCACAAAAACUUGAAAAUUUGAGCUAUUUUGAGAGAGGUUAUGGAGGUUUCAUAUCAAGCUUCCAUGGAGGAUGAAAGCUACGUGAAAGAGAAGAAGGAAGAAAAAGAAGAAGCUGCUGAAAAAUGGGAGAAGAAGCUGUUGGAAGAUGAUAUUUAUAGCUCAAGCUUAUCCACUCCACUUAAAUUACCAAAAUGCCUUCACAAGUUAACUUGUUCUCCUCUAAUCUUUUAUGCAAUCUUUUUACUCUUUUGACACUAGGACAAGGUACAUAAUGGUUUAGAAAUGCUCGGGGUUCACGGAACUUAAAAUUUUAACCCAAGAUGAAAAAUGACCAUUUUGCCCCAACCUCGGGAAUCAUCAUUAUUUUUAUUUUCUUUGUCAUUUUAUCUGUAUUUCAUCAUUCAUUUAUGCCUUAGGCCUACUUAGGCCUUAACAUUGUUUAAAACUUACUUUUAGGGGCUCACUAAAGAAAUGACAAAAUUACCCAUGAUUAGGGAUAUCGCGUCUACUUCUAUCUACAAGUCUAUAAAGGUCAAGGUGUCACAAUUGUCCAACUGAAGAACAACUUGUUGAUAUUUUUACUAAAGGAUUAAAUCAAGAAAAGUUUGAAUUACUAAGAUCAGGUCUAGGUGUUUAUCAUGUAAAUGAUUAUGGGGAUGUGUUGAAAAAUAAUCAUUAACUUGACUAAAUCAGAAGUGGUUGAGUAGCAAGAAAUUGGAAGGAAAGAAUAGUUGUUGGAAGAAGAAAGGAAGCGAAUCCUAAUUACAAAAUGGGGAGUUUUUACCUUUACCAAUUUAUUGUUACUCAUAUGACUUGUUGUGAUGUCGUUUUAAUUAGUUGUUAAAUGUGUAAGGCAAAAACGUCUUCUUAGGUUGUCGUUUUGCCAUGUUAGUAUGUUCUUAUUUUCUAAACAUUAGGAUUUGAUGUCAUUUUGAUUGUUUUCUUCAAGGCCUAACGGUCAUUUUCAUUCUCUAUUGAUUGUAGCCGCUGUAAUUCACAGUAAACAUACUUGAUUUCUAUGCUUUGUUAGUUCUUGAUCCUAUAUUCUCGUGUACGUGAUUCCCAAAGCUAGAUCUACACUUGGGUAGUUUAUAAUUUCAAAUUCUGUUGUAUAAAAGCUCCAUGAAAAUAAAAUACAAGUAGUGUAAAUUGUUCUCUCUUUAAAAAAAUCCAUCUCUUCUGUUUCCAAAUCUUCAUUUUUCUUCAAAACAGUCUGUUGAUCAUAAAAAGUCAACAACUCUGAAUGAAGCUCAAAUAAAAAUGCAAAAAUUGCAUUGUCCGAGAGUUGACUUAGAGCUAGGGAAAGUGGAUUUCAGGCUUAAAUUGAGGUUUCUUUGUAAAGAGGAGCAUCACAACACUGAAAACAACAAGUACGAGCCGAAUGAUCAAAUUCUUCAAGUAUUUCAAGGCCUUGUCAUUAAGUUCCUUAUUCCUUUUUAAUGUUUAAAAUUAGCAAUAUAUCCACCUUGUGAGAGAUUUUUGAAGCUGUAAAAGCACUUAGAAGAUGAAUAUUUUUAAUAGCACCUUUAGUUUGGCUCCACAUUGCUUUCUAACACCACUUUCAGAAUCCAAAGCCAAAGCAUUUUUUGGAGAUAAAUAUUUUUAAUUAUUAAAAUUUUUUUAAUUAUUUAAAAGGAAAAUAAAGUAAGAAUAUAACUUCUUAAUCUUUAGCAUGAUAUAAUUUUACCUUUUUAAAAAAUUCUAAAAUUUAUUUUUUUGUUCAAAUUUUUAAAGUUAAACUUUACAAUUAGACCUCAUAUUUUUUCUGUGUAUAACAAAGUAUAAUAUCUUAAAACUAUGAAUACAGACCAAUUGGUCUAACAUUACUUUUUUUCCUUUAUGAAAAUUUUGCAAUGCAUAGAGAAAUAGUAUACAAAAGAAAAAGAAAGGCAUAAUAAUAUUGUUUUGAAAAGUAUACUCCUCUUUUUUGUUCAUUUUUUCUUGAUGUAUCAAAAUUAGGUCUUCUUUUUACAUCUAAUACUUUUACAGUUUUUAUAUUUUAAUUUUUCCAUAAUUUUUAAUUUAAAUCUUGACAUUAAAAUUAUAAUGCAUAAAUUUUAUAAAAAAAGAUUUAAAAUUUAAUAUAAAGUAAUACCAAAAUCAAUUUUUAACUCUCGGCAAAAAAUAAAUAAAAAAACUAGCAUAUUCCUAAACUAUUUAAGAAAAUUAAAAUAUAUUUUUAUUUUUUAUUGAAUUUAAUUAAGUCUUACUUUUAUUUAAAUCAAAUAAACUUUUAUAAUUAAUAAUUGACUAACUUUCAUUAGUUAAAAUGUUACUUAUCAUUCUAUGUUACAUAACGUUAACGUAAAAUGUUGACAUAUUAUAAUGAAUGAUGGCAUGCCGUAUUGAUGUAAUAUAGUGACAUGAUCAUGAAGUAUUUCACCCUACACAUUAAUGUCAUGUGGAUAUAAAAAUUAUGAGUGAUAUUGUGAGUAAUAACAAUUAAUUAAUCGUUAAUUAUAAAAAUAUAUUUAUAAUCGGCUUUGGAGAGAGAUGGAGAUCAUGGAUUAAGGAGUGAAUGAGUACGACGAGGGUCUCGGUGUUAGUUAAUGGUAAUCCAACAAGACAAUUUGGAAUGAAAAGAAAGCUUAGACAAGAUUGCCCUUUGUCCCCGUUCUUGUUUAAUAUCACUGUUGAGGUGCUGAGCAAUAUGAUUAAAAGAGCUAAGCAGAUGGGAAUCUGUGAAGAGAUCAGAAUAGGGACACAAGAGCUUAAGAUUUCUCAUCUGCAGUUUGUAGAUGACAUAGUAUUUUUUUGCAAUUCUAGAAUGGAUGAUAUCUUAGUAGUGAAAAGAAUUCUCAAGUGUUUUCAAAGUGUGUCAGGAUUGAGUAUUAACUUUAAGAAAAGUCACCUCAUUGGGAUUGAAAUUGAAAGUGUGUUGGUUCAAAACCAAGUUGCUUUGAUUGAGUGCUAGGUAGGAAAGGUCCCAACUACCUGUUUAGGACUCCUAUUGAGGGUUAAUCAUAACUCCAUGGCUUUUUGGAAUUCGAUCAUUGAGAAAAUGGAAGGAAAAUUGGUAAAAUGGAAGUUUAAAAUGCUAUCUUUUAAUGGUAGAAUCUCCAUGCUCAAAUCAAUGUUCUAAGCUUUAACCUUGGUUUAGUUGUUAGAAAUGGUGAAAAUAUCCACUUUUGGACUGACGAGUGGAUUGAAAAUGGCACUUUGGCUCAAAUCUUUUCGAGGAUUUUUGCGCUGGCCAACAACAAAGAUAGAAGAAUUGCAGAUUAUGGAAGAUAUGAGGAGAAUGUGUGGAGAUGGGAUAUUCCUUGAGAAGGAAUCUUUUCGAUUGGAAGCUGCUCAAUGGGAUCAGCUUGGAAACUUACUUAAAGAUAUCCAGAUAAGCAAAAACCUAAAAGAUGAGAUGGUAUGGAAGAGUGAACUAAUGGUCUGUAUUCUUUAAAAUCCUUCUACAAGAGAUUGAUGGCAUGCAUUGAAAAGAGAGACAACGUAUGGAAAAAUGUUUGGGUUGGCCUUGCACCACAUAGAAUUGAGGCUUUUGUGUGGCAACUUCUCCAUGAAAAAAUUAAGGUGAAGGACAAACUGGUAGGUAAAGGAUUGCUGCAGGAUAACUAGAGUGUUUGUGUGUUGUGCAACAAAGAGAUAGAAUUUGCCAAUCACUUGUUUAUUUUUUUCUCUGAAACGUGGAAGGUGUGGGCUUGGUGGUGUGAUUUAUUUUGUUAUCAGUGGAUUGCUCUUAGUAAUGUUAAAUCAUUCUUUGAGUCUUGGAACGAUUGUCACUUGGGAUAUGCGAAUGAAAGAACUUGGAGAAUGGCUUAUUUUACGAUUUUGUGGACAAUUUGAAAGGUUCGUCAUGACGUUGUCUUCACUGGUAAAGUUUGGGAUAGUACACAGUGUUGAGAGACUGCUAAGAUAAGAGUGGCUUCUUAGGCUAAUGCUAAGUGGCCUGGUGAGUAUCCUUUUGUUUUGACUAUUUUUAUGUUCCCCGAUGCUAGAUGUUAUGGUAAAAAGAAAGCAAAGGAAAGAAAAGGUAUAAUAUGAAAGAAACCAAGGUAGGGUCAACUGAAAUUUAUUGUCGAUGGAACGGCCUAAGGUUGACUUGGACCAGCUGGAAUUGGGGGCAUUUUGAGGAAUGAGAAGGGGGAGGUGUUAAUCACUUUCUCCAAACUGAUUGGUAUUGCUAAUUCUACUAUUAUUAAAGUUCUCGCAGUGAAUGAUGCAUUUUUUAUCUUCUCAACCUCAAGAUGGAAAGACAAUCACUCUUUGCUGAUUGAAAUUGAUGCGUGCAACGUUAUUAAAUGAAUUAAAGAUCCAAUGAGUGCGUCGUGGAGGUUGAGAUAUUGGAUUAUUCAGAUUGAAAGGUUAAAGGAGAUGAGUGCUAUAUGGGAGAUCAGACAUUCAUUGAAAGAGGCAAACCAAGAAGAUGACACAUAGGUUAAAGCCGCCAUCCAUCUUCGGAGUGAGAUUUUAAGAGUGUACUAAUUCCCUCUUAUAUCUUGGUUAAGUGGUGGUAAGGUUUGAUUGUGUCUAAUCUCUAGUUUGAGUCAAGUCGGGGCUUAUGGUGGUAAAUAAGCCCCGUUUCUUCGGAUCUGUGUUUUGUUUAAGUUUUGUAAUGAUGCCUCCCUUGUUUUUACUAGAUUGGGAGAGCAGGUCUCUUUUGAUGUAGGAAUUUAUAGGCAAGUUCUUGAGUGUCUGCAACCCCUCGGGAUUUUUUGUUUAGGAGGGAUGACUGCAGUGGUCCUUUUUGGUCUUGGUUUGUAUAGACGUAUGGUUCCCUUUGUUUCUCGGAAGAGGUUUCGGAAACGUAUAUAGGUAAAUAGGAUUGAUAUAUGAUUCAAAACUAUGUGAUUUUGUUCUUUGCAAUGGUGGAGGGGUUUUUUCUCAUCUUUAUGAAUGAAUUUGAUGCUUUUUGAAAAAAAAAAUUAUAAAGAUCUAUUUGAUUAAAGAUAAAAAUAUAAAAAUUUAAUUAAAAACAAUAUAAGUGUAAAAAAUUAUUUAAAUUUUUUCAAUAAUUUAAGAAGUUAUUUUUUUAAAAAAAUGAUAAGGGUAAAAUAAUAACAACAGCGAGGGCAUGUGCCGUUGUUGAAAAAUACACGAAGAACAAAAUCUCUACUAUUAAGAAGAAUUGAGAAGCAAGAACUCCCAUAAUAAAUUUUCUUUCUUUCGUCCCACACAGAAGAAAGGAGGAAAUAACAUUUAUCAUGUCAUUUCUCUAUGUGCACAGACCAAUAAAAGUAGUUGUACUCUAGAAAUGAUAAAAGAGAAUCUUUAGAAGCUCUCUGGCUUUACUUUUGUUCCUCUUCUUUCCUUUUCUCUCCUGAUGCAGUUUGGUCAUUUCCUCCCUCCCUUCUCAUUUCUCUCACCCGCAACUUCCACGCUGUACACUUUUUCGUCUCUGAUACCCCUGCUAUCUUUGUCAAAAAAGACAGUUAUACACUACUAGACUACCGCACAAAGGCUUCUUAAAAAAGCCCCCUGCUUUUAUAUCCUUGUCUGCCAUCAACUCCCUUAAAUAUAACUCCUUCACUUCCCUGUUUUCUCCCACUCUCCUCUCUCUGUUCUCUCUCGCCGGGAAACCAUUUUCCGGUGACCAUUAUCAGUUGUGUUCUGACUUCUUUUUUUCGUUUCUUAGUUUUAAUUAUCUCUUGACCAGAAUAUGAUAAUGGGCUGAUUUUUUUUGGGGUUCUUUUCCCUUUUCUGGUUAUAGUCAUUUUCCUGCCAUUCUCUUUUCCACUUUCUCACCAAGAAAAUCCCUGAAAACUGUGAGAAGAAUCAUACAAAGUGCAUUCCUUCUUCGUUCUCGUGUGAAAUUAUAUCUGGGUUUUACAUAUUAGCCCUAUAUAUAUAUUUGUCAUCUGGGUUUCUUUUGCAAUACACAAUGAUCAGUGCCACAGACCUCUACCAUGUCCUUACUGCCGUGGUGCCGCUUUAUGUGGCUAUGAUCUUAGCAUAUGGCUCUGUGAAAUGGUGGAAAAUCUUCAGCUCUGACCAAUGCUCUGGCAUCAAUCGGUUCGUUGCUUUAUUUGCAGUGCCUCUACUUUCUUUCCAUUUCAUAUCUACCAACAAUCCAUACGCUAUGAACUUGAGGUUCAUAGCAGCGGACACUCUCCAAAAGAUCAUAGUCUUGGUUGUGUUGGCUAUCUGGUCAAGAACUAGCUCAAGAGGUUCCCUGGAAUGGUCCAUCACCUUAUUUUCGCUCUCUACUCUUCCAAACACUCUUGUCAUGGGCAUCCCUUUGUUGAAAGGAAUGUAUGGAGAAAAUUCAGGGAGCUUAAUGGUCCAAAUAGUCGUUCUUCAAUGCAUAAUUUGGUACACGUUGAUGCUCUUUCUCUUUGAAUACAGAGGAGCUAGACUUCUCAUAGCUGAGCAAUUCCCAGAUACUGCUGGCUCUAUCAUUUCCUUCAAAGUUGAUUCUGAUAUCAUUUCCCUGGAUGGGAAAGAGCCAUUGCAAACCGAUGCCGAAGUUGGGGAAGACGGGAAACUCCAUGUCACUGUUAGAAAAUCUACUAGUUCUCGCUCGGAAAUUUUUUCUCGCCGAUCACACGGUCCGAACUCAGGCGUCUCUUUAACCCCAAGACCAUCAAAUUUGACAAAUGCGGAAAUUUACUCCCUCCAAUCAUCAAGAAAUCCUACUCCAAGAGGAUCCAGCUUCAACCACACUGAUUUCUACUCAAUGGUGAAUGGAAAAAACAUAAGCAAUGUGAGUCCAAGACAAUCGAACUUUGGGAACUUGGGUUUCGAUGAAGAGAACGGACUUGGGGUAUUUGGUAAUCCAGGGAGAGCAAAUGGAAAUGCUUAUCCUGCUCCAACUAGUGCUGGAAUCUUUUCUCCAGUGACUGGACCAGGUGCCAAGAAGAAGGCAAAUGGAACUGAUAGUGGCAAGGAUUUGCAUAUGUUUGUUUGGAGUUCAAGCGCUUCUCCUGUAUCAGAAGGUGGGAUUCAUGUUUUCAGGGGAGGAGAGUAUGGGAAUGAUCUUGGUGGGGUAGCUCACCAAAAAGGUAUCAACGUUAACCUUUCAAAGUGUAGUUUGGGUUUCGGUAUUUUUUGGUCGUUUUCGUUUACUACUUGUUCUGACUGUGAUUUUGCAUUGAGGGGCAUUAGGAUUUGGCAAUUUCCAACACUAAACUUUAAGGUUAUUUGUUAUUUGCUAUCUUUAGUCUUGAUUGUUUCUUGGAUGUUGUGAAUGUGGUUUUAUAGUAUUGGACGUGAAUGAGUUGCAUUUUUGUUUUAUUAGAAUGUUCUGUUUAUUGGGGUAACUGUAUUUGUCUUGUUGAAUGAGGGUUUGGGAUUGGAGAAUGCUUUUUUCCGUUGUGCAUCAAGUGGGGCUGGUUGGUUGUUUGUUGCCUCUUUUUCUUUUCGCCUUUCUCCUCCUCGAUGAUCUUGUUCUUCUUUCUUUUGAUCCACGGAGUGUUUUCUUGUGGUCGUAUUUGUCAUCACUCUAAUAAUGCUUUCCUCUCAUGUCAUUUUCUUUUGUUGUAUUAACAAUAAUUUAUGUUUAUUUUUUUUUUGACUUCCAGACUAUGAUGAGUAUGGUAGAGAUGAAUUUAGCUUUGGUAAUAAACAACUUACAAAUGGGGUUGACCGUGAAGGACCAGUGCUUUCCAAGCUCGGUUCAAGCUCCACAACUGAACUCCACCCCAAGGCUAGUGCUCAUGCUGAAACAAAGCCAUCUGCUAUGCCUCCUGCUAGUGUUAUGACCAGACUCAUCCUCAUCAUGGUGUGGCGAAAGCUAAUCAGGAAUCCCAAUACUUAUUCGAGUCUCAUUGGCCUCACCUGGUCUCUCGUUUCGUUCAAGUGUGUAAAACUACAUAACCUUUUCCUUUGAAGUGUAUUUUUCUGAUCCAUUUAUACAAAAUUUUAAUGGCUCUUUGCAUUUUUGCAGAUGGGAUAUUCAGAUGCCUGCUAUAAUUGCUCGUUCAAUAUCUAUUCUUUCUGAUGCAGGUCUUGGAAUGGCAAUGUUUAGUCUUGGUAAGUCAAUGAUCAACUUAAUUGAGGUUUCUGUGUAUGGAAGAUAUCAAGGCAUUUUAGUUGGUAAAACUGUUGUCAAUUUGUAUUAUUGCUUGAUUCUUCUCAAGAAGCUAAGAUUUUGGGUCGCAGGUUUAUUCAUGGCACUUCAGCCGAGGAUUAUUGCAUGUGGAAACACAAUUGCAGCCUUUGCCAUGGCAGUUCGAUUCCUAACAGGUCCUGCAGUCAUGGCUGCUGCCUCGAUCGCUGUUGGAUUGAGAGGUGUCCUACUGCGCAUCGCAAUUGUGCAGGUAAUAGUGGUCUCUUGUAUUAACCUUGUUUGGCCGGUUUUCUACCCUGUCAAGUCGAUCUGAUUCAGAUCUUUGAAUUGUUUGAAUUUUCAGGCGGCUCUUCCACAAGGGAUUGUCCCUUUCGUCUUUGCAAAAGAAUACAAUGUUCACCCUGACAUAUUGAGCACAGGGUGCGUAACAAACUUUUAUCUAAACUCCUUAACUUGUCAUAUGCAAAACUCUUUCAUGCGUGCAUGACUUGUACUGACGUGCAUGUCUCUAUUUGUCAAGAUAUAAGCUUUAAUCUUAUGUGCUAGUGGUCCGGCCGAGAAUAUGGUGGUGGUCCAAGUCCAAAGAUAUAAGCUUUCAUGUUUAUUGCAUGCAAUUAUGUAUGCUUUUCUUUUUCCUUUUUUUUUUUUGGGUAAUUGAAUCAAUGUAAUUAUUAAUGUUAGUAUGUCAUUAUGGAUAAUGAUGCUUAUAAGUCAUGAUGUGAAGCUGAAAUUCUUCAUUCCUAAUUUUGUUCAGGGUCAUAUUCGGAAUGCUGAUUGCCCUUCCUAUAACAAUGGUUUACUACAUCCUGCUGGGACUUUGAAGCAAAAAUACUCUUGGAGUCUUAUAAAGGAAAAAAGACUAGAUACAAUUAGUACACUACCCAUUUGGAAUUUGGGAAGUUUUUGGAUUUCUCUAACACGGGAAAAGUAUAAUUUCAUUUCUGAACUGAUCAUUAGUAAUUGUUAGAGAAAAGGGUACAGAGAUUUCUCUUCACAACCGGUGAUUGCAAAGAGGUAACAUUGACAGCCAUGGGCGCUAGAAAUUUUUGUUCUCUUUAUGUAUGCUUUUCUCACUAGGAGCCUCGUGCUUUUUGCUUUUGUUUUUUUUUAUGAAAGAAAGUGAGGCAUGUUUGUAGAUCAGCAAAGAUUCCUCUGCGUUCUUCUUAACCUUUUGUAAGGUCAAAAAGAGAUAUUAAUCCGAUUGGAAUCUCUAUGCAAGAAAAUCCCACGCCCACAGCAAAAAUGUUUGUCUACACUCUUUAGAAAAAACACACAAGUGUGAAGCCAACGGGGUGGCUCGAUGGUGUUUUAUCAAUGUUUCUCUCUUUUCCAAUUUUUAAAGGCAAGUAUUCACUAAAAUUAAAAGACCCAGCAGACCAUAAAGCUUGUUAUAAUAAAGCCUGUGGCCUAAAAAGAAAGGAGCACCAGCUGUCACUAGAGACUGGGCUUUUGUCUAUCAAUCUGAAUACAUUUCAUGGUUGGGACUUGAAAAGAUGGCAGGUCUCUAUGUUUGAUAGCUGUCUAUAGGUUGGGCGUGGCAGCUAAGGUAUUUAGCUUGUGCUGGAGGAGCUACAUUUAAACUUAUGUCGGCUUAUUGGAGACCUACGAAAUUGACCCCUGCCACCACAGGGCUGUGUUUGGGCAGUGCUUAUAUGAAAAGGCUUAGUGGUGGGUCUCAGUAUUAAAGUACUUGAGAUAAUAAUGGAUCACAUUUAUUUGCUGCAUGCUUCAUUUAAAUGAGAUCAACAGCAUUUGUCGCAUAAUUGCAAAGAAAAAUCAAUUAUUACUCCUACACUCUACAGGAUUGGUGUUUCCACUUAUGGCAGUAAAUAAACUGAAGUAAACAUUUCUCAAGUACAAAACCCAGGGAGGAUCUUUGGUUAAAAGAUGUUAAGUUUUUUCUUCCAUGAAUUACUCCUAUGCUUAUGAUGUUGAUAUUGAUCUUACAUAGUCAGUUUUGUGGACAUUACGACAAUUUUCCUUACAGCCCAUGAACAGUAAACACUUGCUAUUUUUUCCAAAUCAGUAACUCCUUAGGAUGCCAAAUAAUUAGCCAAAUUGUGGUGGAAGUAAAUUAAGAAAAAUGAUGGAUCUGGACCAUGUAACGAUGUCAAUGUAUUUUGUAAUCGGGUUGAUUAAAAUUAGGGUACUUAUAAUUGGUUUUGGAUAGGAUUUAGGUAGUAAAACUAUUACCCUAUAAUUGGUUUGUUAUACUCAUGCCACACCUUCGGGUAAAUUUUAGAUAGUCGUCUUAGGGUUUUUAGGGUUCAGAAAGGGUUCACGUAAUAAAACUACUAUCUUAUAAUUGGUUUGUCAUACUCUAUCACGCCUUCAAGUAUGGUUCAAGUAGUGAUCAUGAGGUACUUACAAUGUGAACUUGAUUAUAAACAAUGAUUUUUUAAUAUUAAAAUUUAAUUUUAUAUAAAUUAAUUUUUGUUUAUAAAUUUCAUUUAAUUAAUUUAAUACUUACUAAAAUUUACUAAUUGUUCUAAAUAUGAUUUUAAAUUUUAAUUUAUUUUUUAUAAAUUAAUUUUAAUUUAUCAAUUUAAUUUUUAUUAAUAAUAUUCAUAAUAUCUAAUUUAUUUUAAUUAGAUAUUUAACGGAUAUAAGUAUUUAAAAAGUUAUCUAAGCUAUCUAGGUACAAAUUCGAGUAACAAUUCAAAAAAUUAAUUGAUAUUUAUAAAGUUCGAAUACCCUAUCCAAUAAUAUAAUUCAAAUUAAAAUACGUCAAAAAUAAUGAAUAUCCUACUCGUCAUAAUAACUAGGAUGGAGGCUUUCUUACUCCUAUUUUCUUCCUUUAGAAAAUUUUCAAUUUUUUAACUUAUGCUUAUUUGGCCCUCUUAACCUAAAAAGUUUGUCCUUUUUGUCCAGUACGAAAUUUCAUCCUUCUAUGUAUUCACCCUUGAUCUUCUAAAAUUCUUUACUUAUUACAGAACUUUGUGGUAAAAUGCAAUUUUGACCAUUAUUCUUUCUCGAAAUUCUAUUUUUAUUCAUACAACUUACAUUUUGUGAAAUCUAAUCAAAUUUUUUUUAUUUGGAUUUAAAUUAUCUAUUAAACUUUCAAAUUUUGUUAAAAUUAAGGAAACCAAUCAUUAUAUGAUUCAAAUCUCUGUCAAAAAUGUUGACCUGAAAAAAUUAUAAAAAUUGAAAAUUGUGAUACGAAAGAAAUUCCUAAAAUUGUUGCAUUGUAGCUUAACUUUUUAUCAAACAAUUUAGGACCACUACUUUUAGUUUUAAUGUAUGACUUAACACCAAUUUAAGAUUUAUAUUGAUUAAGAAUCUCAACUAUUCAAAGUGAUUCAAUAAAGGAAAAAUAGGUAAUUAAUAUUUAAUUGGCUUCCACUUAUCAUUAAAAAUACCAUAUGAACUUGUCAUGUGUCAUUUUAAUUUCACAUGUUGUGAUGGCGAGGACAUACAAUCUUAUAAUUUCUUAUGAAAAUUUAAAGCAAUUAGUUCUUUUCAUUGCUAUUUUUUUUUCCUUUUUCCUUUUUUCCUUUCUUUUUAAUAUUUCCAUUUCUUUAUUAGUAGCCGACGAGACAAAAUUGACGACAAGGCCAGCAGUAGUAUCUCUUGCCAAGGCAUGGUGUCACGAACUAAACUCCUUUGUUUAAGUAUGCGAUAGUUCUUGCAAUGCUUGGAUGGACACUUCCACACAAGCUAGCCAAUAACUUGUUUAUAUUUGAACAAAUAUCAAUAAAAGCCACAAAUUAGUUUAAGGCAAUGCAACAUUUAAAUCAUAAAGUAUAACGAAUGCCAUGUACACAAGCAUUAAAGCCACAUAAAGGAAAUGUUUUAUUAAUAUUGAGAUAAGUACAAAGGGACCAAGACGCUCUAUUGUCGAGCUAUAAAGGUAGCCCUAGAUGGUUCACUACAAACAUAGCUUUACCAAUGAGGCAGCCUAACAAUUCGCCGACUACUCACCCAUUAUAAAGAGUUUGUGAGAUUUUACAAGUAUAUUACCAAGAACUGUUAUAAAGCGUGAGAUAGGUCAUUCUUUCCUUAAAGGGUCUUCCUUCUAAAGACUUAACAAGCAUUUCCAAAGACAUCACCUAGUGCCAUUACAAUGUUUAAAAGGGGGACAUAUUGUCACAACCCAAAUUCUAGGUUAUGAUCGACGCAUGGGCCCAAUGAGCAUAGCCCACUAAGCCAAGCAAGCCUAUUUAUGAAAUCCCGAUCAUUAAUCCCAACCAUCAUUUCUAAAACUACAUAUUUUAGUUCUCAAUGAUGAAUGUUUUAGUAAUAAUUUAUAGCAAUUGAAUAUUCAUAUUUGUAUUAUCUCAAAGAAUUAUCAUUCAUUGUCAUCUCAUAAAGCAUUAUCAUCAAUCCAACAUAUACAUACUUCAUUUAUAACAUGACUCCUAGUAGUUUACAUUUCAUAUACAUGUACACAGAUUAAAGACUCUCAACCAUCAGCGGAGUGACUUUAAGUGAAGGUAUCGUUACUGAGAUGCCAUAGUACCUAACAAGAAAGCGAGCAUAUGUGUGCGACUCAAUCUAGGUCCCAACUGCCUCUAAAUCUGACAAGAUGAAUUUUAAAAACGUGAGUAUAAAACUCAGUGAGUGAACAUAAUAAGGGAACAAGAAAUUGAUAGGAAGAAUUUGGAAAUCAUGAUGCACUUGUUUCAAAAACAAUGCACUUGAUUUAAUUUCUUACUAAAAACCCCUCAUUUUAAACCUUGAUUAAUGCCCUCAUAGGGUUUCACAAACCCAUGAUCAAUCCAUGAACUUAAAUGGGUGAAAAAUAUGUCAAAAAUCGACUAGGGUAUGUAGGAUAGAAUGUUUCUCGCUGCAGCGAGAAAUAGUAUCAGUUUGCAUGUGUUUCAGUUUUUCUGGAAUAUCUCCCAUUACAGGCGUUCAAUUGCCUUGAUUUUUAAACCAUUAGAAACCUAAGAGGCAGGGCUACAACUUUUAUGUUUACCACUUUUCCCAGUUCGGAAGGGAACAUGGCCAAAAGCUUCAUCAAAGUGAACAUACUGCACCAAAACCUGAGAGUUUCUCGCUGCAGUGAGAUUUAUUUUCGCUGUAGCGAGUUUUCUGUUGCCAAAACAGAAUGUUUCUCGCUGCAGCGAGAAUGCUUUCUCGUUGCAGUGAGAAGCAGGGCACCUAAGUGUAAAAAGGACCUCAUUUGCAUCAAAUAUCCAUUUGGUGUUGCAAUGAACUCAAUUUGUAAGAAAAUGGGACAUUUUCAAGAUUCAUCAUGCCAAUUUCAACAUGAAAUGCUCAAAAGUUUCCAAAGUUCACCAUGCCAAAAUUUCACAUGCAUUACAACCAUAUAUGUAAAACCCGACCCUAUAAAUACAUGUCAUAACAUACAUGCAUUGAGUAGCAUGUUAUUAUACUAGGAAAGUCCCUAAGAAUAGACGAAACUCGGUAUUAUACCAAACGAUACACUUGAAUUGAUUGAACCUUGAACUAGUUCAAAUAGGAAUCGUAGAAUGAAAUUUAACAUUUUAUAGUCAAGGAAUGACUAAAAAUGAUUGUUCGGAGUUCGAGGGUUCAUUUGGGGAAAAAUUGAAAAUUUUGAUGUUUAGGGGCAAAAUCGUAAUUUUUCCACUCGUAGACAAAAUUUGAGAUUUUGAGAGAAUUUAGAUCACAUUUGACAAAUUGGAGAAUGCUAUGAGUAUAAGGGAUGAAAAAUAUGUCUAUGGGCAAUUUUUCAGUUUUUUGGGUAAAAAUGUAAUUUUUGACUUUUACGGGGGCAAAAGUGUAAAUUUCAAAAAUUAAUCCACCAAGACUUUGGAUAAGUCUGAGAAUUUUAUCUACGCUAUGGAUAUGUGGGACAAGUGUAUGGUGAAAAUUUGAAAACAAAUGGAUUAAAUUUUAAAAACAGACCAAUGGGAAAGUGACACAUGGCAUUUUUAAAAUAGUUUAAUAUUGUUUUAAUGAAAAGUCAGCCCACUUAAACCCCAUUUUAAGUGAUGGCCAGCCAUAAGGAAGAACAAGAGAGGAAAUAGAGAGGAAAGGAAGAAAAGAAAGAAAACAAAGGGAAACUAGAAAAAUUCAAAGGGGAAUUCGCGUNNNNNNNNNNNNNNNNNNNNNNNNNNNNNNNNNNNNNNNNNNNNNNNNNNNNNNNNNNNNNNNNNNNNNNNNNNNNNNNNNNNNNNNNNNNNNNNNNNNNNNNNNNNNNNNNNNNNNNNNNNNNNNNNNNNNNNNNNNNNNNNNNNNNNNNNNNNNNNNNNNNNNNNNNNNNNNNNNNNNNNNNNNNNNNNNNNNNNNNNNNNNNNNNNNNNNNNNNNNNNNNNNNNNNNNNNNNNNNNNNNNNNNNNNNNNNNNNNNNNNNNNNNNNNNNNNNNNNNNNNNNNNNNNNNNNNNNNNNNNNNNNNNNNNNNNNNNNNNNNNNNNNNNNNNNNNNNNNNNNNNNNNNNNNNNNNNNNNNNNNNNNNNNNNNNNNNNNNNNNNNNNNNNNNNNNNNNNNNNNNNNNNNNNNNNNNNNNNNNNNNNNNNNNNNNNNNNNNNNNNNNNNNNNNNNNNNNNNNNNNNNNNNNNNNNNNNNNNNNNNNNNNNNNNNNNNNNNNNNNNNNNNNNNNNNNNNNNNNNNNNNNNNNNNNNNNNNNNNNNNNNNNNNNNNNNNNNNNNNNNNNNNNNNNNNNNNNNNNNNNNNNNNNNNNNNNNNNNNNNNNNNNNNNNNNNNNNNNNNNNNNNNNNNNNNNNNNNNNNNNNNNNNNNNNNNNNNNNNNNNNNNNNNNNNNNNNNNNNNNNNNNNNNNNNNNNNNNNNNNNNNNNNNNNNNNNNNNNNNNNNNNNNNNNNNNNNNNNNNNNNNNNNNNNNNNNNNNNNNNNNNNNNNNNNNNNNNNNNNNNNNNNNNNNNNNNNNNNNNNNNNNNNNNNNNNNNNNNNNNNNNNNNNNNNNNNNNNNNNNNNNNNNNNNNNNNNNNNNNNNNNNNNNNNNNNNNNNNNNNNNNNNNNNNNNNNNNNNNNNNNNNNNNNNNNNNNNNNNNNNNNNNNNNNNNNNNNNNNNNNNNNNNNNNNNNNNNNNNNNNNNNNNNNNNNNNNNNNNNNNNNNNNNNNNNNNNNNNNNNNNNNNNNNNNNNNNNNNNNNNNNNNNNNNNNNNNNNNNNNNNNNNNNNNNNNNNNNNNNNNNNNNNNNNNNNNNNNNNNNNNNNNNNNNNNNNNNNNNNNNNNNNNNNNNNNNNNNNNNNNNNNNNNNNNNNNNNNNNNNNNNNNNNNNNNNNNNNNNNNNNNNNNNNNNNNNNNNNNNNNNNNNNNNNNNNNNNNNNNNNNNNNNNNNNNNNNNNNNNNNNNNNNNNNNNNNNNNNNNNNNNNNNNNNNNNNNNNNNNNNNNNNNNNNNNNNNNNNNNNNNNNNNNNNNNNNNNNNNNNNNNNNNNNNNNNNNNNNNNNNNNNNNNNNNNNNNNNNNNNNNNNNNNNNNNNNNNNNNNNNNNNNNNNNNNNNNNNNNNNNNNNNNNNNNNNNNNNNNNNNNNNNNNNNNNNNNNNNNNNNNNNNNNNNNNNNNNNNNNNNNNNNNNNNNNNNNNNNNNNNNNNNNNNNNNNNNNNNNNNNNNNNNNNNNNNNNNNNNNNNNNNNNNNNNNNNNNNNNNNNNNNNNNNNNNNNNNNNNNNNNNNNNNNNNNNNNNNNNNNNNNNNNNNNNNNNNNNNNNNNNNNNNNNNNNNNNNNNNNNNNNNNNNNNNNNNNNNNNNNNNNNNNNNNNNNNNNNNNNNNNNNNNNNNNNNNNNNNNNNNNNNNNNNNNNNNNNNNNNNNNNNNNNNNNNNNNNNNNNNNNNNNNNNNNNNNNNNNNNNNNNNNNNNNNNNNNNNNNNNNNNNNNNNNNNNNNNNNNNNNNNNNNNNNNNNNNNNNNNNNNNNNNNNNNNNNNNNNNNNNNNNNNNNNNNNNNNNNNNNNNNNNNNNNNNNNNNNNNNNNNNNNNNNNNNNNNNNNNNNNNNNNNNNNNNNNNNNNNNNNNNNNNNNNNNNNNNNNNNNNNNNNNNNNNNNNNNNNNNNNNNNNNNNNNNNNNNNNNNNNNNNNNNNNNNNNNNNNNNNNNNNNNNNNNNNNNNNNNNNNNNNNNNNNNNNNNNNNNNNNNNNNNNNNNNNNNNNNNNNNNNNNNNNNNNNNNNNNNNNNNNNNNNNNNNNNNNNNNNNNNNNNNNNNNNNNNNNNNNNNNNNNNNNNNNNNNNNNNNNNNNNNNNNNNNNNNNNNNNNNNNNNNNNNNNNNNNNNNNNNNNNNNNNNNNNNNNNNNNNNNNNAACCUCUAAUCGACUCUAACCUCCACUAAUGGUUCAAAUGGGCAAGUGAGGCCUUGUUGGAACCUAUACACACACAACAUCACAACUAAUCCAAUUUACAUUAAUAUCACUCCAAAAGCUAGUUUCUAAUUCAAAUUCUUCUAGUCAUUCCUAAUUGCCUUCCAACUAUAUCAAAUGGCUAUUCCUUGCACUACUCUAAUCACACUAAAAAUGAGUAAAUAACUCAACAAUAAAAUAGCUCAUAAUCCUAAUUACUAGCCAUUAUCAACAACUUAAAACCAAGCCUAGUUCAUCACUCACCUUAGGGUUUCUUUGUAGUUGAAUUCUCUUCCAAUAGCUUCCAAACAAAUAUGAAAAAUCUCUCUUUCUCUCUCUAAACCUCCAACUAGUGAGAGAAAGUGUUGAACAAUGACUUUUUGAGGAUUUUAAAGUGAGAGAGUGAAAGAGCAUAAGAGUUCUAGUCAAAAGGGCACAAAGGUAUGAAAAUUAGAGCUAGAGAGAGAAAGUUAUGAAGUUUUCAUACCAUGCUUCCAUGGAGGAUGGAAGCAACGUGAGAUGGAAGAAGAAGAAGGAGAAGAAGCUACUGGAAAUUGAAAAAGAUGUUGGAAGGAGAAGAUAUUUAUAGCUCAAACUUAUCCAACUCCCUUAGAAAUUAUAAAAAAGCCCUUUAGCAAGUUAACUUGUUCUUCUCCAAUCCUUUGUGAAAUCUUUUUAUUCUUUUGACACUAGGACAAGGUCCACAAUGAUCUGAACUACUUGGGUUUAUGAAAACUUAAAAUUUUAACUCUGGGUGCAAAAUGACCAUUUUACCCCUGUUGUGAAAAAUAUUGCCACCUCUAGUUUUCUUCGUGUUUUCAUCAUUAUACAUAAUUCAUUCAUUCCUUAGGCCUAUUUAGACCUUAAUAGCAUAAAAAAAACCCACUUGUAGGAGCUCACCAAGGGAAAUUACGAAAUUACCCUUGGUCCACAUUAUCGAGUCUACUUCUAGUUAUGUGCCUAUGGAGACUGAGAUUUCAUAGAUUCACUUUUUAAUUACCCUUUUAACUCAGUAAUCAAUCUCAAUUGGCAUUUGUAAACUUUAUUAGCUAUCGUAUAAAAAAUACGGGGUACUACACAUAUCCCUUGAGGGUACAAAAGACUUAGUUUGUUAGACGCUUCUUCCUUGCCAUAGCCCUAUACAAAGUUGGCUCAUGACAUCCUCCCCCACUCAAUCUAUCAAUGUCCUUGUUGACUAGUUGACUUGGAACUCUUUAAUUUUCUACUUGAAGACGUUAAGGUCAGCUUCUAUCUCUUAGGUGAUUUCAUUUGUCCCCAAACCUUUCCAUUCCACUAAGUACUCUUAUGUUGGCAAUCGGUUGAUUAUGGUAAAUCUCUUUGCAUUUUCUACUCGGCAUUGUGAUGGUGGCUUAGUGGUGAUGGUAGUCCUCGUAAUUUGACUCUUGCUUGCAUUUGCAUGGAACAACUUCAGAUUGCUAACGUGAAAUAUUGGAUACACCUUCAUCCACUUGGAUCGAUCAAUCUUGUAGGAGGUCUUUCCCAACUUAGCCGUAAUUUGUACGGGGCCUUCAUACUUUUGCGCUAGUCGUCUAUCUCUUUUUCUUAAGAAUUUGAGUUAUUUGGGUACCAAUUUCCCUAGCACAAGGUCCUUUACCUUAAAGUGUUGAUUUUUUCGACCUUUGUCUGCCCACCUCUUCAUGUGGUUAGAGGCCUUCUCUAAAUAAGAUCGGAAGAUCUUAGUGUUCUGUUUUCACUCUUUAGCAAAGUUAAAGGCUUGAGGGCUUUUUUUGCUAUAAGAGCCCACCGAGGUGUCGGGAAGUUUAGGUUGUUGCCCAGUGACAACUUUGAAAGGGGUUCUACAUGUGGCGAAACUUUUCUACAAGUUGAAACAUAAUUGAGCCACAUUUAGUAGAUUAGGCCAAUUCUUCUAAUUUGCCUAUAUAAAGUGUUGUAAAUAUUCCUCAAACAAUCUAUUGAAGCGUUCCGUUUGACCAUCUGUCUAAGGAUGAUAACUAGAAGAAAUGUUGAGUUUUGACCUUAAUAGCUUGAAAAGUUGUUUUAAAAAAAAGAAAACCAAUAAACCUUGGAUCUUUUUCAUUGAUAAUGCUUUUAGGUACGCCCCAAUAAUUUACCACAUGUUUGAAAAUUGUAUGAGCUAUUUUUUCUGCAAAGCCAAACUUCUGUAUUGGGAUAAAUGUAGAAUACUUUGAAAAAUGAUCUACUACCACGUUAUAUCUCUCACUUUAGGGAGCCUUACUAUGAAGUCAAGAGAAAUGCUUACCCACAAUCUGCUCGGUACUAGCUUCUGUCUCUCCACUUUGUCUUGUUAACAAAUAAGGCAUGUCUUGGUAUAAUCUAUCACAUCUUGUCACAUAUGGCGCCAGUAAUAACCUUGUUUCAAUAAUACCAAAGUGCGUUGCCAACUUGGAUGUCCUACCCAUGGAGUGUCUUGGCAUUCCUGCAUCAACUUUGAUCUCAACACUCAAACUCUUGGAACAAAUAUUUGUGGCCCUUUUGUUAGUAGCAGUUCAUUUUCCACCUAAGAAUACUUAGACUUCUACUUUCCACUGAUUUCAUAAUGAUAAUGGUUUGGGGAUCUCUUUUCAUAUUCUUUUCAAUAGGGUUGCGAAUACUUGUAAUUACUCUACUUGCUAUGAUAGGGGUUAUCACCUUGAAAGCUACGAAUUCAACCUUUUUGUUGAGUGCAUCUACCACUUGAUUAGCUUUUCCAAACUUGUGUUCAAAAUGGAAAUCAAACUUGACUAAAAACUCCUGCCAUUUUGCUUGUUGGGCUUUGAGUUUCAAUUGAGUAAGGUAGUGACUAACUGCAGUAUUGUUUAUCUUAACCACAAAUUGGGACCCUAGCAAGUAGUGUCACCAUGCUCGUAAAUAAUGAAUUACAACUAAGAGCUCUUUUCCUAUGCCAUGUAUCUCCUUUCAACUUCGUUUAAUUUUUUACCUUUAAAUGCGACUAAAGGUCCUGUUUGCAAUAAUACGCCUCCAAGAGAAAAGUUUGACACAUCUAUCUGUACUUCAAAAGGUUUUUCAAUGUUUCCGAGUGCUAUGACGUGAUCUGUCAUCACCACUUCCUUCAAAUCUUCGAAAGCUUCUUGGCAUUAAGGUGUCUAAUCCCAUUUUUGUCAUUUUUUGAGCAAUUCUGUAAGUACCAAUGUUCUUUUUGAAUACCUUUUCGAUAAAUCUUUGAUAAUAGUUGGCUAGCCCUAAGAAUGAGCAAAGUUUUGUCAUAUUCUUAAGGGUUGCUCACUCUUUGAUAGCUUUCACCUUUUGCAUAUUCAUCUUGAUGUGACCUUGCUUAAUUAUAUGACCGAGGAAUUAAAUUCGGGUUUGCAUGAAUGCUUAUUUUUCUCUUUUCACAUACAAUUGGUUGUCUCACAAACUUUGGAAGACUUGUUGCAAGUGCCUUUGAUGUUCUUCUAAGGUUGAAUUGUACACCAGAAUGUCAUCCAGGUAUAUUAUAGUGAUCUUGUCUAGAUAAUUAGAGAAAGCUUGAUUCAUCAAAGUGCAAAAAGUGGUAGAAGCAUUGGUUAGUCUAAAAGGCAUAACAAGAAAUUCAAAUGCAACAUACCGCGUUAUGCAGGUGGUUUUCGCUUCAUAUUUAUCUGCCACUUUUAUUUGAUAGUAGCCAGAUCUCAAAUCCAAUUUAAAGAAGUACUUCGCACAACUUAGUUGGUCAAAAAUAUCUAUUAUAACGAGAAUUGGAUAUUUAUUCUUUACUGUGACUUUGUUCAAAGCUUGUUAAUCUACUCAUAACUGCAAACUCCUAUCUUGCUUUUUUUGGAAAAGUACCGAGGACCUAAAAGGUGCUUUUAAAGGUCGAAUGAAUUUUGCUUGGAUUAGCUAGUCUAAUUGUUUCCUUAACUCUACUAGCUUUGGGGGAGCCAUUUAGUAUAGCCUAUUUGUAAUUGGCUUGAUGCCCGAGAGUAAUUCUAUCUCAUGAUCAAUAACUUGUUGAGGUGGUAAGAUCCUAGGUAGCUGUUCUGGCAUAGUAUCUUGAAAUUCUUUCAAAAUCAACUUCACUUUAUCAGGUAUAGGAUUUGUGUUAUCUCUGCCUUUGUAGAUGGGCAUGGCUACAUAGGAAGGCUCUCCCUUUUUAAUCCUCUUCUUGAAUUGGAUAGCUGUUAUGAUUUUCUUCCCACUCUUGGGUAGAAUUGUAGUUGGUACCAUACAAGGUUGUUCUUUAAAAAAUAUUAAGCAACUCACAACAAAGAAUGGGAUGGCUUGCGCUUUUAUCGUAAAAUCCAAGCCUAAAAUAAAAUCAAAGUCUUCCACAAUGGUAGGAGUCAUGUUCACCUUCCUCUCUCAAAAACCAAUCUUAAUCUUCGUCUCUUUGUAGUUCCCCAUAAUAGCUAAGGUUGGUGAGUUAACUACUUUCAUUUUCCUUAAGUCUUUCUCAACCUUGAGACCGCAUUUCUUUGCCUCUCUUGAGGUGAUGAAGGUAUCAGAGGCCCCUAUGUCUAUCAUGGCUUUGGUCCUUUUAUCAUUCAACAACACAUCCACAUACAUCAGACCUCGUUUCGAUUUUUUCUUCAUCUUUUCUAGUUGCACUUGUAGGGCACUGAGGAACUGAAUUGAACCCAUUUGCUUUGGUUCCUCCUUGACUUCCUCAAUUGGGGUCUAGGGUCGAGGUGUUUCCACAUUAGUAGUACAUAUCAUGUUAAGAGUUGCUCAAUGUUGAUCGAGGUGUUUCCCCAAUGAGGUUUAUUGCAAAGAAAACAAGAUAUUGGGGCUCGAGGUUAGAAGCCUCACAACUUAGGUGGUCUCCUUUCUCUUCCCUCACUCGAGAGUCUGCUAACUCUUGGAAAUUUCACCCUAUUGUUAUAGUUCAAGCUACUGAUUCUUAAUACAAGGUUUUUCCUUUUAUUUUAGUUACCACUAUAAUUAGUAAGUUGUUUAGCAACCAUUAUUGUUAAAGUCACGCCUUGCACCUUUUGUCGUUAUAACUUUGUCUUCACCCAUGGUUUCAAACCCUCGAGAAAAUAAAACAACUUAUCUUUCUUAGUCAUGUCCCUAGUAUCUAGCAUUAGAGUAGUGAAGUUUCUCACAAAUUCUUGCACUGACUUGAUUUAUGUUAACUCUCACAAUUUAUGUCGAGCCUUGUACUUUACAUUCUCAAGGAAAAACUAAUUCUUUAGCUCUCGCUUAAGGUCCACCCAAGUGUUGAUGUGACACUUGACAUCAACAAAUUUGGAAUGCCACCAUAACUUUGCAUCACUUGCAAGAUAUAUUGCAGCCAUCGCCACUUUGUCUUCCUCCAACUCUAUACAGUCAUCACUUUGGAAGUACUGUUCAAUAUCAAAAAGGAAGUUCUCCAACUCCCUCGCAUCUUUAGCCUCUUCGUAUUGCUUGGGCUGUGGCACUUUAGCUCUUUUCCCUCAAUCUCUUGAUUUGCAAAAAUAAUCAAGAGAUUUACUUUAGCUUUUAAUUCUCCAAACUCACCUUGGAGAAUGCCCAACAUAUCCCUGGUCUUAUCACUUAGGGUAUUUAUCAUCUUAGAUAGUUCUCGCUGAACUGUCUCAAUUUCAUUUAUACGUUCACAAGAGACCAUCUUAGCUUUAUUAUGGCCACCGCGGCCAUUAACUCAUCAAUUCUCUGAUGGUUCUGUGGUGCACUCUACGUGGUCAUCAUUUUUGCUCUUUCACUUAGCACGUCUCUAUCGGGCUUUAAUACUAACUAUCACGAACUACGUACCUUCGCUUAAGUAUGUAAUAGUCUGUGAGGCGCUUGGAUGGACGCUUCCACACAAGCCAACCAAUAACGUUUUAUAUUUGAACAAACAUCAAUAAUAGCAAUAAAAUAGUUUAAGGCAACGCAACAUCAAAAUUAUAAGGCAUAAUGAAUGCCAUGUACACAACCAUUGGAGUCACAUAAAGGAAAUGUUUUAAUAAUAUCGAGAUAAGUACAAAAGAACCAAGAUGCUCCAUUGUCGAGCCAUAGGAGCAGCCUUAUAUUGUUCGUUACAAACAUACCUUUACCAGUGAGGCAACUCAACAAUCCACUGAUUGCUCACCCCCUGUAAAAAGUUUACGAGAUUUUACAAGUAUAUCAUGAAGAAUCGUUACAAAAUGUGAGAUGGAGGCAUUCCUUCCCUGAAGGGUUUUCCCCCUAAAGACUUAACAAGCAUUUCUAAAGACAUCACCAAGUGCCAUUGCAAUGUUUAAAAGGGGGACAUCUCCUCAGAGGGUACAAAGGACUUAAUCUCCUAGAGAGUUCUACCCUGUCAUAGCUCUAUAUAAGGUUGGCUUAUGACAUAUGGCAUUGUUCUAGCAUCAGAUUUGCUAUGGUCAAAUUUUGCCAUUGGCAAAGCUAUAAAUUUGUCUCUUUUUAAGAAUUAUAUAUAAGUAGGAAUUAAGAUAAUAACCAAAUAGUGUUUAACAUAAGUAGAAAUUACAUAACCAUUAGCACAAAGUUGGAGAAAAAUUCAAAUUUGAAAUUGGAUGAAACUUUAAUAUAUGUGAGAAUUUAAACUUGGAAUCUAAAGAUUUUAAUUUUUUUUACUCUUGUCAAAAUAAGAUUGAACAUGGGAUUGUGCUAACUCGAAUUCGGAGAAUGUAUGACAUUACUGCUAUUAAUGAAUAAUAUUGCAAUAAUUAUCAAAUUGUCAUUUGCUACUACCUAUCCAAAUGAGUAUUUAACCAACAUUUAUAACGUACAAAGAAAAUUUAUCAUAACUCUAUGUUUUCCAUCAAAUGUAGACGUGUUCAUAGGUUAGGUCAAGUUGUUGACACUUUGAAAUCUAAGUUGGAUUCGAGUCUGAUUCGUCUCAAUUUAAUUAUUUUAUAUUACAUUUAUUAUUAAAUAUAAAAAGUAUUUUAAUAUUAAUAUUUUAAAAUUAAAAUCUUAAAAAAAAUAUUAUUGUUAUGAAAUAAAUGUAAAAGAAUAAUUAUAAGAGAAAUAUAAGAGAAAGUAUUUAGAGGGAGUAAAAAGAUUUUAUUUAAGUAUAUAUUUACAAAUGAAGUGAAAGAAUCUAUUUAUAAGCUAAUAACCCCUUAUCUAAAUCGAAUUUACAAAAUAAAGAUAACACUUAGGGAUUAGAUGGAUUAAAUCUUAAUCCAAUCUAAUUUACAUCAAAUCUAGAUAUAGAUAACAUAAAUGGAUAUUCACAAAAAUAUUCAUAACACUCCCCCUUGAAUAUCCAUUGUAUUAAGAAUAUGCUUCGUUAAAACCUUACAAGGAAAAAACCUCAUGGGAAAAAAAUUUGAAUGAAGGAAAAAGAGUACAUAAUCUUUUCAAGAAUACACUUUUGAAAUACUACCUCAUUAAAAACCUUAUCAAGAAAAACCCAGUGGGAAAAACCUUGAUGAAGGAAAAGAGUACAGUGCGUAUUUUACUCCCCUUGAUGACUGCAUUAUAGAGAUCUUUAAAAUGAUGCAUUCCAACAUUUCAAAAUGUUGUAGUAAGAAGGGCUUUAGUGAACAAAUCUGCUAGAUUAUUACUUGGCUGAAUUUAUUGAACACUAAUUUCAACCUUUUCUCGGAGAUCAUGAGUGAAGAAGAAUUUUGGCGAACUGUAUGCUUUGUUCAAUUGCCUUUAAUAUAUCCUUCCUUUAACUGUGUUAUGCAAGCAGUAUUAUCCUCAUAUAACAUUGUUGGAAUUUUCUUCUUGGUUGACAAGCCACACGUUUCUUGAAUAUGUUGAGUUACAGAUCUUAACCAGACAUAUUCACGACUUGCUCAUGAGUUGCUAAAAUUUUUGUAUGGUUAGAAGAAGUAACAACUAUAGUUUGUUUUAUAAAACGUCAUGAAAUAGCCAUACCUUUAUAUGUGAACAAGUAAUAUAUUUGGGAUCGAGCUUUGCGUGGAUCAAAUAAAUAUCUUGCAUCUACAUAACAAAUUAAAUUUUAUUUUGAUUCAUUUGAAUAAUAUAAGCCUAUAUCCAUUGUUCCUCGGAGAUAUUGAAGUAUAUGUUUAAUUCCAUUCCAAUGUCUUUGAGUUGGAGAAGAACUCUAUCUUGCUAAUAAAUUCACAGCAAUUGAUAUAUCAAGUCAUGUAUUGCUAGCAAGAUACAUUAGUACUCCAAUUUCAAUAAGAUAUAAUACUUCUGGACCAAGAAGUUCUUUAUUAUGCUCACGAGGUUGGAAAAGAUCUUUUUUCACAUCUAAUGACCUUACAACCAUUGGUGAACUCAAUGGAUAUGCUUUUUCCAUAUAAAAUCGUUUUAGCAUUUUUGUGAUAUAAUUUGAUUAAUGGAAAAAAAUUCUAUUUGCCAAGUGUUCAAUCUAAAGACCUAAACAAAACUUUAUGUUUUCCAAGGUCUUUCAUCUCAAAUUCUCUCUUUAAGUAAUCCAUGGCUUUUAAUAACUCUUCAAGAGUUCCAAUAAUGUUCAAGUCAUUAACAUAAACAAACAAUUAUAAUAAAUUCAUAUCUAAACCCUUUUAUAAAAUACAUGGGCAUAUAGGAUUAUUUCUAUAGCCUUUUUUCAAUAAAUAUGCAUUAAGGUGAUUAUACCACAUGUGUCUAGAUUUCUUUAAUCUAUAUAAAGAUUUAUUUAAUUUGGUCGAAUAAAUUUCUCGAGAAUUCAAAUUUUGUGCUUCAGGCAACUUAAAUCCUUCAGAGAUUUUCAUAUAGAUAUCGAUAUCAAAUGAGCCAUAUAAAUAGGUUGUAGCUACACUCAUUAGACGCAUUUUAAUUUUCUCAUUUAUUGCCAGACUAGUUAAUAUAGAAUUGUAAUUGUAUCCACCAUAGAGACUAUCUCUUCAUCUUCAAUAUUAGAUUUUUAGAGAAAACCUUGUGCGACAAGCCAUGCUUUAUAUCUUAUAAUCUCAUUUUUCUCAUUUUGUAUUCGCACAAAUACUCAUGUAUAUAUCUCACUGGUUUUACACCAUUUGGUGUAUGGACUACAGGUCCAAAAACUUCACAUUUUGCAAAUAAAUACAUUUCCUCCUUAAUUACGUCUUUCCACAUUGGCCAAUCCUUUCUAUGUCUAUAUUCUUCAAUAAAUAUAAGCUCAAGAUCCUCACUUUUCUUUCAUAAUAUUGAGCUCUAUAUUAUAUACAACAUAUCGUCUGCGUUUAUUUACCGGUUCCAUCUUUUCUCAUCAUGACAUAAUUGAUUGAGAUCUUUUUAUUUUAAUUGAUUUUAGGUACCUAAAUUUCUUCUGGAAUGUUUAUCAAUUAUGUCAGGGGUCUCUUAUAGAGUCUUUAUUUCCUCCUUCUGACUAUCUUAAAUAUUUGCUCCUUUUUUUUUUCGAGGAUUUUAUCUUUGGAACCGAUUGGUUUUCAUGUUUUUAGCGUGCCUUGUCCUACAAGGACAUCAAUACCAAUAGAAGCAUUUGCAGCUGGUAUAUAAGGUUUAGUUAUUCCUUUUAAGUUAGUAAAUACGUUUGUCAAUUGAUUUACUAUAUUUUGCAAAAUAAUUAUCUUUUGAACUUCAAGUUCAUAUUGAUUUAUGCGAGGAUCAAAACUAGAUAAUGAUAUUCAUUCUAAGAAAUUUUCUUUUUCCAGCUGCUUAUGUUUUUUCACCCUACUGUUGGAAGAAUUGUUUCAUCAAUAUGACAAUUGACAAACUUUGUCAUGAAUAAAUCUCCUAUUGAUAAUUCUAAAUAUUUAAUUAAAAAUGGAGAUUCGUAUCCAAUAUAUAUUCCUAAUCUCCUUUGAGGACCCAUCUUUGUGCAUUGUGGUGGAGCAAUUGAAACAUAUACCGCACAUCUAAAAAUUCUUAGAUAGGAAAUAUUUGAUUCGUGACCAUGAACCAAUUGUAUAGGGAGAAUUUAUAAUAACUCGUUUGAUCUGAUGCAUAUAAAUGUUGCUGCAUCCAAAAUGUCAUGCCCCCAAGCAGUCAUUGGGAGUUUGAAUUUCAUAAGUAACGGCCUUGCCAUCAGUUGGGAGUGUUUAAUAAAUAAUUUUACUAGACCAUUUUGUGUAUAAACAUAAGCAACAUGCUGUUCAAUAGUUAUUCCAACUAAUAUGCACUAUUAAAGGUUUGAGAUGUAAAUCCUCCAGCAUUAUCAAUACAAAUAAUCUUGAUUACAUAAUCAGGAAAAUGUGCUUGCGAAUGAAUGGUUGCAAAUGCCAAAUUGCAAGCUGAUAAAAAGUACACAUGUGACCAUCUAGCCGAUGCAUCGAUUAAAACCAUAAAAUAUCUAAAUGGUUGACAUGGUGGAUUUAUGAAUCCACAUAUAACCUUGAAUGUUAUUCAAAAACAUAGGGAAUUCAAUCCAACUUUAGCUGGUGAUAGCUUUAUAAUUUAUUUGCCUUCGAAGUAAGUAGCACAUAAAAUUUAUUAGAUUGAAAAAUCUUCUGGUUUUUCAAUGAAUGAUAAAUUUUCAAUCAUUUUUUGCAUCAUUAUUGAUCCAGGAUGAUCCAACCGAUCAUGCCAAACAUUAAAAUCAUUAGUAAACUUCUGGUUUACUAUGGGUUUCAAUUAUUCUAAUAUUUGUAUAGUUUAAUUCUAAGAACAGAACGAGUAAUAUUUUUUUCAACACACACUUUCUACUUGAGAUAAUAAAUGUAAUAUAGAGGUAUUAAGUGUCUCUUUCAUUUGUUGUCUCAAUAUAAUAUCUAUUCAAACGAAUAUAUUUAAAACUUAAUAAACUUCUUUGUGACUUAAUAGAAAAUAAUACAUUCUCUAUUACUUUAUUCCUCAAGGUAGUAAAAUAUUAGCUCCUCUGGAGCCUUCAAUUAAUCUUAGACUACCAGAUAUUGAAUUAGCUUUUUUUUUGUUGCCAAGUAGAAAAAAUAUUUCUUAUCUUUCAAUAUAAUGUGUAUUAUAGCAAUGUCUGUUAGACAUAUAUUUACAUCAUAGAUCUUAGAUCCAACAAUAUGAACAUCCAUAUAUAUAUAUACAAUAAGUAACUUACAAGUUAACAUAAAAGAAUAUUAAAACACAUAACAAGAACAAAUCAUUUAAACAUAUUAAAGCAUCUUCAUAAUAUUGUUAUACUAAAUAUACCAAUUAUUAUUAAGUUCAUUCUCGAAUAUUCCCAUUACUAAUUAAAUGAUCAAUUCCUUUUAUAGGAUAAGAAAAUCAACCAUGAAUAUUUUCGUUACCAAUCAUAUAAUCAAUUCCUCAUUCAGGAUGGACAAAUAUCUUGAUGUGCUAUAUCAACUUGGCCAUGAUUAAAAUUAUCACAAGAUGUUUUAAUUUUUAGUGAUGCUUGAUAAAAUUUAAGACGUACAACAGAUACGUGGCCAAUGAUAUUUCCUGCUACAUCAAUAACAAUAUAUUUUCUAUAUUCUUUUUAUUCUUUUUAUUAUUUAUCCACUUUUUGUGGAUUACAAGUAUUCAUCCACUUCUUAAUGGGUUAUCCACUUCUGGUGGGUUAGUGGGUUAAGGUAUCCAUCUACUUUUGGUGCGUUGAAAGUAUUCAUCUAUUUGUGGUAGGUUUCAAGUAUACAUCCACUUUUGGUGAGUGAUCCACAUAUGAUGGGUUAUCCACUUCUGGUGGAUUAUAGACAUCCAUCCUUUUUUUAAGGUAAAAUUAUCUAUCCACUUCUAGUGGUAAAAUUAUUCUUAAAUUCAGAUGAUAAAAUUAUCCAUCCACUUCUGGUGGUAAACUAAUAAUUAAAAUAGUGAUAGUGUAAAUUGUUAUAACAACCUCUUCCAUAUCCAUGAUCAUAAUUAUUAAAUGAUGUGGCAUUUACUUCAGGAAAUGGACAAAUUUAUAAUUUUUUUUAUUAGUAGCUCGUUUGUCACAUUCACUUCAGGGAAUGAACAUUAUGAUUUUUCAUUAAUAGUUAUAUAAUAGAAAAUUCACUUUCUAAUCAAGAGACAAUAUAUAAUAUAUACAACAUGAUAGUAAAAUUCAUAUUAAGGUUGAUUUUAAGAGAAUGGAAAUAUUAAAGAGAUAUCAAGUCACUUACCUGAUUUUCUAAAAUUAGAAAUCAAAAGCCAAUCAUUGAAAUUCUUUUGAAGCUUAACGAUAAUGAAAACAUAAUAAUUCUAAAACUUGAAAGAUCAGAGAAUCGUGUUGAUAACGUGUUAUGAAAUAAAUCUAAAAGAACAACUAUAAGAAAAAUAUAAGAGAAAGUAUUUAGAGGAAAGAAAGUAUUUAAAGGAAGUAAGAAGAUUUUAUUCAAGUAUAUAUUUACAAAUGAAGUGAAAGGAUCUAUUUAUAAGCUAAUAACCCCUUAUCUAGAUUGAAUUUACAAGAUAAAGAUAAUACUUAGGGAUUAGAUGGAUUAAAUCUUAAUCCAAUCUAAUUUACAUCAAAUUUAGAUAUAUAUAACAUAAAUAGAUAUUCAAAAAAAUAUUCAUAACAAUUAUUUAUUUAUAUAAUAAUAUCUCAGGUUGGAUUAGAUAGGGAUGAGUUUAAAAAUUCAUGCUAAAUUUGUCCUAUGGACACCUGUAAUCAUAUACAUUUAGAAAAUAAAACGUAAUAAAAGAAAAUAGAAACCAACAAUUUUUUUAUUAGUAUAGAACUUAAUAAAUGUAAAAUGCUCAUCAACAUUCGAAACACAAAAUAAAACAAUUUUUCUUUUUCAAAAAGCUACAUAAUAAAACAUCAAAGACAUAAAAAAAAAACUACCUAGAAAGCAUCCAAUAAGUAAGCUUAUUAGGAUAGUAUCCAUAUAACAACUCAAAGUAUACCUGGCACUCGAGCUCAAAGUAUACCUAGCACUCAAGCAUUUGACUUAUUGGUUGGUGCAUGAUCCCCCUACGUAGAGAGUAGGGUUCGAAUCCCCUUCCCUCAAUUAAAAAUAUACCUAAAAAACAUAGUUAUGAAAAAAAAUAGGUGAUAUCACUUGGGAAAAACGUAUAGGUAAAAAAAUAUAUUUAUAAACAAUGUAAUAAAAAAAAUUGGAAAACACAAAGAAAAUUUUGUCAUAAUUUCAAUUAAAGAAUCUACUUAAAUGAAAUAUUUAAAAUUAUUUUAGACAUGAUCUAUCUAAAAAAUUCUAUUCUUAAUGUUUUUAGUUUAUUGUUUAAUUAAUUUCAAUGAAAAAUUUCAUAAAUUCUAUCUGAGAAACUCCGACGCAAGCUUAUGUUGAUCUUUUUUAACAAAACAAAACUAAUGAAAGCAAAUUUUCUUUCUAUAAAUUGAAAGUGAAGUUAUUAUAUUAGAGCUCAUGCAAAAAUCAAUAUAUAAUUUCCAAAUUUUAGGUUCAUGGAGAAUUAAAACUAUAAAAACGUUGCCUUUUUGUAAGUAUUGAAAGUAUUAGAAUUAAAAUAAAAAGUCACUGCUUUCAUAUUUUUAAGACAUAAUUCUUGAAAAAGGUUUGAGAUUAUUUUAAAAAAUUUGAAUAAGUUUUUAUUUUUAAUUAUGUUUAAUCAAAUUCUUAUAUUUUUUGUCAAGCCCAAUUCUAUAAUAUAUUUGCCAUAUUGUAUUGGUACUUGAUAGAAUGUCUGCAUACUUGAAUGCCUCAAAAAUCGUUAAAAGACGAUAUUGUACCUAAUAAUACAAUUAAGUUGAUUUAAGCCUCGAACUAGUACAAAUAGAGAUUUUAAGAUGAAAUUGAGAAUUUUAAAAUCCCAGAUUGACUUAAUAUGGUGAUUCGGAGUUUGAGGAUUGAUUUGGAGUCAAAUUGGAAUUUUUAUGACAUAGGGGUAAAAUGGUCAUUUUGCCACCCAAGGGCAAAAUUGGAAUUUUACACCACCCAACACUUGUCAAGCCCUUGAAUUUUACCUAUGAUACUUUGGAUAAUUGAGAUAUUUUAUGUGGUGGUGGGAGAAUGCUUAAUUAUUAAGUUUAAAAAUGGACCAAUGGGAUGGUGACAAGUGGCAAGUUUUCAUUUCUUUAUAAUUUACAUUAAAAACCAGUACACACCUCUCUUAUUCAUUCUUCAUGUUCAGCCUCACCAAGGAAAAGAGGAAAGAAAGAAAGAACAAACCUUAGUGAGCAAAAAUUCAAGGGAAAAUUGGUGGAUUUCAAGGAAUUAAGCAAGUAAAGGUAAAAUUUCUUGAUUUUAGCUUGUGAUCUACCUUUCCUAUACAUUCUUUUUCAUUUUUCAUGGUUGAGAAUCAAGUUUGCAUGAGGAUACCUUUGCUGGCCGAACAUGGGGGGAGGAGUUUUGAUCUUGGAUUUAGCUAUAUUUCAUGUUAUUCUAGUGUUUUUAGUUGGUUGGUGAUGUGUAGCAUAAAAAGCAAACAAGAAAAAUUCAUGUUCUUACAUCACCCUCAUUGGCCGAAUCUUCCUUAUGGUAUGUGGAUGGUGGAUUUGAUUUUAUUUCAAGUGAUUUUGUUAGGAAUUAAUGAUUUAUGGUGUAAAAAUCAAGUGUGAAAAAACCAUAGUGUUUAUGUACCCACCAUGGCCGAAUUUUCCAAGAGAAAAUGUUGAGGAUGGUUUUGCUAUAAUUCAUGUUAUCUAGCUUAUAUUUGAUGAUUUGGAGUAUUGGAAGUGAAAUGAAUUUAUUUGGAGUCAAUUUGGAUGUUUUGGUUAAAUCAAAGGUGAAGAGUUCGAAUUAGGUCAAAAACUGAUCCAUUCCGAUCACCCUUGAACCAACGUGAAUUCCAUUUUUAAGUGACUAUCCAAACAACCUCAUGCAUUCAUAUAGAGCCUGAAAUAGAUUUAUAAUGACAUGACACAAUAUAUUGAAUUAUUUGUCAUGUAUUGUGUAUAAGUGGUGAGUCCUCUAACAAGGGUAAAGACAUUGUGCCAGAGGACCAAGAAUAGGAGUAUUUCGAACUCCUGAUAUUGUGAGUAACCUUAUUAUCGUCUUAAUUAUCUAAAGUAGUGUUUAUUCGUUUUUGUGAUUUGAUAGAAAAAUGAGUUUAAAUAGUAAAUCUUUAUGUUUUAUAAACAAAAUGUGAUUAAAUGAAAUGAUUUUAUAAAAUUGUCUUGAAAUUGAAUGAUGGUUUUGAAAAUGGAGUAAUUGGAGACUAUUUGCUAUGUUAUAAAUCACGGUUUGAAUUGAAUGGCUUAUGAUAAUGUGGGCAUGAGUGGCUGGAUUGGUUAUUGUGCUAAACAUAUAUGAACUGUUGUUUUGCCUUGACAUGCUGUGUUGUAAAAUAAUUGCCACAUCAUGCUAUUGGAAUUUUAUUGAUUUGGUGGGAUAUUGAUUAGCUUACUACAAUGAGCGAGUUUCUGUGGACCAGCCUCUUAGAGGGGCACGGUAAACCCCAUUACAUUUUAUUUUACCUCGAUACGAGAGGCGCUGAGGGUAACUCCUGAGGUAAAGUUUAGAGUUCACUUCAUGCCGAACCACCACGUGAGAGUGAAUUCAGCCAACGUCAAGGAACGACUGUGCUUUUAAACGUAAAAAUGUGUUUUGUGCGUAUAUGACUUUUUAACUAGCCUUGACGGUCUCGAUUGGAUGCCUUUGAUCAAGGUAUCUCCGAGAAUGAGUUUUGGCACGAGCCAAGUUUUUAAGAGAUUCAUAAGCCUCGUUGUGUAUUUUGGAUGAAAUGUAACUGGUUUAGAUGAUUUGAAAUGUGUUUUGAUGUUAUGAACCAUCUUAUGAUGAUCUAUUUUAAUCGUCUCUAUUUACUCGGCUUUAGAUAUUUUAGACGAUGUUUGUUUACUCACUGAGUUUAUAUAAACUCACCACCCUCCUUUCCACUCAUUUCAGGCUUAGGAUAGUCAGUAGAUAGCUGAUUUCGUUGAGGGCUACAGUUGGAUUUGCAUCCUCAAAAAUUGUAGGUUCACAGCCUUUGUUACUUUUGGUCAUUCGGGGGUUCACACGUCAUUGUAAAUUAAAUUACAUACUCUGGUUAUUUGUGUUACUGUAUGUACGAAUUUAUUUUGCGUUUACGCUACAAAAAUUAUUUACGGAUAUCUCUAUAAAAAUUAUUUUAUAAGAAAAUAAAAUAUUUUAUUCAAUAUUUUUAUUUUAUUCUAAUAGCUAUCAUUUCACUUCAAAUGAAUGUUUUAGAUAUCUAAACUUAUUUUUGGUUAUGAAAUAUGUAUCUUUCACUCAUAUACUACAUUUUUAGAUGGUUUUGAAAUUUUUAAGGAAAAAUGAUCAAAAUACCCCUGUGAGACGAAAAUUAUUUUCUUUAUUGUUUUGGUUUGGAAAUAGCUUAUAAUUUUUUAAAAUAUGAUAUUAUCAACUGUUGCUCGCAAGGGAGGUGAGAAAACUGAUAUUAAAGCCUUACGAGGUUUUGAUUGGCAUUCCGAGUAAUGAAUGUUUAUCGGAACAUCGCGACGGUUGUCACAGACUCGAGGAGAGUACCGAGUCGUGACAUGUUUAUUUUAAAUCAAAUAAACUUUUAUAAUUAUGAUUAAUUGUAGUUAGUGAAAACGUCACUUAUUAUUUUUAUGACGAGUGAUACUAAUGUGAUAUAUUAACAUAUAAUAGUGCAUGAUGACGCUGUAUGCUGAUAUGAUAUGAUGACAUGGUUACAUGAUAUUUUUCAUUAUCUAUUUUAAUGCCUAAUGAAUAUAAAAUGGCAAUUAAUGUUUUAAUUAAUAACAAUUAGUUAAAUAUUAAUAAUAAUUAUUUAUUUAUCUUAAAAUAAUAAUAUAAAAAUUUGAUUGAAUGUAAUAAAGAAUAAUAAUUUAUUUAAAAAAUUUUAAAAAAUAUUUAUAUCUAUUUUUAAUCAUAAUUUUAAUCUUAUAAUUUGAAAUUACUUUUACCAAUAAAUCUGAUAAUUGUGAUGAAAACACACGGACUCUAGUUGAAAUUUUAACAGUUGCACUUGAACUAUGGAGAGGUGUACAACUAUGUUGCGUGAAAGGCUGAAACGCGUCAGUCAAAAAAUAUAGUUUUGCUUUUUGAUUUUUCGCCGUUUUUUGACCGUUUAACAGACACACUAAAGUAAGGAGGGGCAGGACAAGAAUGAAUCAUGAUGAGAGAGAUAAUGCAAUAAUAAGACUUUGCACUCAACCUUUAAUGAGACUUUGCACUUAACCUUGAAAAAGAGCUUAUAGAAAAUCAAAGAAUACCGAAAAGAGCGGUGUCACCAACCUCACUCAGAGCAGGCAAAUUCUGUCGAUUUUGGUUUAUUUAUAUAUAUUAUGUUGCAAGUGGUCCAACUUUUUAUUCUCUUUGCUCCUUUCACGGUACAGAUUAACAAACACACUAAUUGAACUAUCAAAAGUUACAAAUCUUGAUAAUUAUAAUGUUUGAUGUGACCUUAGUGAGUAUAAUGAUGAAACCAGCUAUGUAAAGUUUUCUAAAAAUAAAACAUCUCUCCAAGCCCAAAGCAGCUUUAAUUGGUUUGAAAGUAUGUGCAGCACAUGUGCCACUCCCUCAGUAGCCUCGCCAACCUGAAGCUCUCACUUAGGUUUUUGCCUUUUCAGGUUCCAAUAUUUGUUUAGUUCCUUGAUAAAGUUCGUUUGUACUUGAUGUUGGAUGAUUCACACCACCCAUUUCAUAUUUUACAAUUUUAUGAUCUUCUUUAUAUAUAAACAAGUCAUUUGAAAGGUAGGCAAAAGGUUUAUGUGGAGACCAUGAGGAGUACUUAAUUUGGAGAAUGCCUAUAUGUGAAUGGCUACCUCUAGAGGCCACAAUAGUGUAUCUAGACUGAGUUAAGCUACAAAUAAUGGGAGAAUAUAGAAAAAGAAUUAUUUUAAUAUAAUUUUUUAAAUUUCUCACACAAAUUUAUACUUUUUCACGUUUCCAUUGAAUUUUUGUUAUGCACAAGUUUUCGUUCAGUCCACUGAUGAUAAGAUGUCUUUUUUUUUUCCUUUAAUUUUUUAAAUAAGUUUAGUGGCAAGAUGAGGAAUGGGUUUAACUAUUGUUAAUCGUGGAGUGUCCGGUAAAACAAUAGUAGCUGGAUGGCAUAAGAAGUGAAAAUGAUCAUUAAAAAUCAUAGGUCAAAAGCAAAUAUUAUAUAAUUUUGUAAUAUAUUUAACAAUUGAAAAUUUCAAUUAAAAUAAUUAAAGAUUAUUUGUAUAUAAAAAUAGUGAUGAAUACAAUAAUUUAUAUUUGCAUUACUAGUAACAAAUUAAAUAACAUUUUUUUACUAAACUAUCAAAUAAGUCCUUGAAGAACCUCGAUUUUUAAUAUAAAGGUAAAAUGAUAAAUUUUUAAGUGAGUUUGUAAAAAGUACUUUUUAAUCAAUAUUUUAAAGUUUUCUUUCAAAAAUCUAUAUUUUUAAGUUAUUAAGUGCUUGUUUGGUCUAUUUUUUUUCAGCUUAUCUAUAUUUUAAAAGUAGAAGUUGGGCCAAACAGAAUUUUGAGAAGUUCUUAAAAAUAAAACAGCUUUUUUUUUUAAAGAACAAUAUCUAAAAAAAAAAAGCUUCAAGAAAUACUUCAAAAGAUGAGCUUUCUCUUAUUUUCUUUUAAAAACACACUACCUUCUCAGGAGAUUUUUUUUUUGUUUCAAAAAUGUCUUCAUUUAUUAAAAGUAAUCUCAACAUUACUUUCUCAAAAAAUACCCUCUCUUUCAAUCGAUCUCUCUUUCCUCUCCCUCUCUUUGCAAAUCUUCUAUCUUCUCAAUUGAUAUACCUCUCUUCUCCCUCUUUUUGUAAAUCACCCUCUCUCUCCCCUUUUCCUCUCUUUACAAAUCAGCCCCCUUCUCUCAAUUGAUUUCCUUUUCCUCUCCCUCUUUCUACAAAUUAUCCCUCUCUUUCUCUCUCUCUCUCUCUUUCUCUCUCAAUCGAUCUCCCUAUCCUCUCAUUCUCUCUGCAAAUCACUCAUCUUAAAAAAAAAAAAUCCUCAUCUAUUAAAAAUAAACAUUUGAUGAUAAUUUUAACCAAAAUUAAAGCUUAUAUAAGUUGUUUUACCAAACAAUUUAUUUAUAAAAAAGAGCUUAUAAAAGUAAAUUUACCAAAUAACUCUAACUUAAUUUUAAAAACUAUUAUUUUUUAUAAAAGCUGCAUAAUAGCUUUUAAGCUAAAAAAAGCCAAGUCAAACAAGUACUACGUCUAUUUGAAGCAAAGAAGAGGGAGAAAGAGUAAAAUAAAAAUGGAUGCAUUGCAUAAGGAAAAGAGCAUUGUGUGCCAUACCUCUAAAAAAGGUAUCAAUACCUUGUGCCCAAAAUGCCCAGAAAAGACAUUUUGUAUAACAAGCAUCGGUAUUUGCAAAACGUUAAAAAAGGCAAAAUGGUAAUUUGUCCAAAACCCUUUUUGCUCCCUUUGUUGUCCAGUUACUUCUUGUUGUCGGAUUUAUCAUGCAAGUGCAUGUAUCGUUAAUAAGUAAUAUAAUGAAAAGUAAAGUAUUGUUCCCAUGAGGAAUUGUUAGCAAAACUUUGCUAACUACUACAAUUAUAACAAUUUAAUCUUAUUUAAACAACCAAAUUAAAACUACUGAAUAGUGAAGGUAAUUAAACUAAUAACAAUAAAAUAAAAAAUAAAAAUAAAAGUAAAAUUAAAUUUAAAGAAAGAACAUAAGUUUCGAAAACUUGGGUUGCCUUUCAAGAAUCACUAGAUUUAUAGUUGUCAGCUUGACUUCUGCAUGCUCAUUUGGUGUUAACCAAAGUGAUUGAGGAUUUUUUGCGAUUGAUUUCACCUCCCUACUAGUGCUUGAGACGUUGCCCAUUCAUCUUGAAUGUCUUGUUUGAGUUUUCUUUGGAUGCUUCCAUUGCUCCAUGAGGGAAUACUUUUGUGACAGUGAAAGGUCCCAACCAUCUAGACUUGAGCUUACUUGGAAAUAAUUUCAACUAAGAGUUAUAAAGUAAGACAUGUUGGCUUGGUUCAAAGUGGUGCUCAAUGAUCUUCUUGUCAUGCCAUCUCUUGGUUUUCUCCUUGUAAAUCUUGGCAUUUUCAUAAGCUUGAAGCAUAACUCAUCCAUCUCAUUAAGUUGUAAGAGACACUUUUCUCCAACUGCAUGGAGAUCAAAAUUUAGUUUCUUAAUGGUUUAGUAUGCAUUAUGCUCUAGUUCAACUGGAAGAUGGCAUGCUUUUCCAAAAACCAAUUUGAAAAGAGACAUCUCAAUGGGAGUUUUGUAGGAGUCCUAUAUGCCCACAAAGCAUCAUCCAACCUCUUGGACCAAUCUUUUCUAGAUGGAUGCACAGUCUUUUUUAAAAUUCCCUUGAUUUCUCUGUUGGACACUUUAACUUGGCCACUUGUCUUGGAUGAUAGGUAGUUGCAAUUUUAUGCGUGACUCCAUAUUUAGCAAAGAGUGCCUCAAAGUACUUGUUGCAAAAGUGAGAAGCCUCAUCAUUGAUAAUAGCUCUUGGGGUUCCAAAAUGAGUGAAGAUAUUCCUUUUUAGGAUGUUCACCAUCACUUUUAAGUCAUUUAUUGGCAAUGUUGUAGCUUCAACCCUUAUAGAUACAUAAUCAGUAGCAACCAAAAUAUAAAGAUUUUAGUAUGAAGGUAUAAAAAGACCCAUAAAUUCAUUCUCUACAUAUAAAAAAUCUCCACCUCAAGGAUGUUGUUGAGAGGCAUCUCAUGUCUCCAUGAGAUGUUACCAGCUCAUUAACACUUAUCACACUUUGCAACAAAAUAGUGAGCAUCUUUAAAAUGUGUAGGCUAAUAAAAACUUGAUUGAAGUACUUUUGCUACAGUUCCCUCUCUUCCAAAGUGUCUUCCAUAAUAUGAAAAAUGACAAUGCUUAAGUAUAUCCUAAAAUUCCUCCUCUGAAACACAUCUUCUAAGAAUCUGAUCCCCAUAUUGCUUAAAUAUAGAAGGCUUAUUUGAUAACUCUAUGAUAUAAAGUUAUUUGGACUUAAUUUUGAUAGUAACUUAACUAAGUUCUUAUAGUAAUGCAUAUACAUUAGUAGGUUUUAAUUUAAUUAUUUUAAGUUAGUUAAUUAGGGAGUCAAUCCAAUCUUAGUUAAAUUUGUGCUUGAAUUGGUGUUAAUGUGCCUAAGACAUGCUAUUAUUGAUUAAUUUGUUGAUUUUGUAGGUAUGCAAUUAAAAGGGUGAAAAGUUGUCAAAAUAAGUGUUCAUGAGAUGUAGAUCUUCACUGCAUAUGUCUAAAGUUUUUGACCAUAUCUCUCUCUACAAAACUUCAAAUGAGGUGAUUCUUGGACCAUUGAAAAACUAAGAGAAAAAGAGAAAACUAUUAUCUUUACCACCUUGCCCAAUUCAUCUUGGAAAAUGGUAAAAUCCCUUGUCGAAGUUGAAGCACCACAAUAGUCUUGGAGAGAAAAUUUAAAUCAUGAUUUUUGUAAAUUAAAUGGUCGAUGUUGCAGCCUUGGUGGAGAUAGGUUGUGGCUCACAUAGUCUGAUGAGGAAAUCCUUGUUAGAAUUGACUUCGUUCUACACCUAACUUGGCCCAACUUUAAAGCCUUAUUAAAGCAACCUUUCAUAGGACUUUUAGAGGGAUGAAAAAACUGAAGAUUAAGAGCUAAGAUUCAACCACAAAAUCAUUGAAGAAAAGUCACAUUGGAGCUUAGAAGAAAUUGAAGGAUUCAAGAGGAUUUAAAGGUCAAGAUUUCAACUUUUGGAGUUUAUUUAUUCCUUUUGUUAUUUUUUAUUUUUCUUGAUUUGGUUUCAAUGUUUAAGCUUUAUUUGAUGAUGAUUUGUGAUAUUAUGGGAAACUAAUUUAGUUAUCUAAGAUUAUGAUUGAACUCGAUACGUAGUUUGAUUUAUUUAUUUCUCUUUUGCUUAUGUUUGAUGGUUUUAAUUUGUUUGUUGUAUUUUGAUCUCAGUGUUUUUAAUUACCUAACCAUCAAUUAGAUUUAAUUGGAAACCUAAAUUAAACCACCACGUGAAGGGGAACUCGGCCAACGCCAAGGAACGACUAUGUUUUCAAAAUAAAAACAUGACUUUCUAAUAGCCUUGGCAGACUCAGUUGGGAUAGCCCUCGGCCAAGGUAUCCCAGAUAACUGAGUAUGAUAAUAAUUUUUGGCAUGAGCCAAGCUUUUUAAGAAAUUCAUAAGCCAUACUGAUUACUUGCUUUAAAUAAAUUGAUUUCAUUUGGUUGAAUUAAGUUGAAAGAUGAUAAAUUACAAUUUGAUGAAAUAUUUUAAUAGUCUCAUUGUACUCGACUUUAGAUAUUUUGAGUGAUGUUUGUUUACUCACUGGGAUUUUAUAAUCUCACCACCCUCAUUUCCACCAAUUUCAGGCUUAGAAUAGAUUGUAGAUAACUGAUAUCGGCGAGGAUUACAGUUGAACUUGCCACAUCCAAAGACUGUAGGUUCAUUUCUUUUGAUACUUUUGGUCAUUCGUGGGCCCACGUGUCACUGUAAAUUAAAUUCUAUACUUUGGUUAUCUGUAUUACGGUAUGUAAGAAUUUAUUUUGCUUUUACGCUAUAAAAAUUAUUUAUGCAGUGUUCUUAAAAUAUCGUUUUAUGUGAAAAUUGAAUAUUUUAUUUAAUAUUUUUAUUUUAUUAUAACAGUCAUAAUUCCAUUUUAAAUGAAUGUUUUAGACAUCCAAAAUUAUUUUUGAUUAUGAAAUAUGUGUUUUCCACUUACAUACUAUAUUUUAGAUGAUUUUGAGAUUUUUGGGAUAAAUGACCAAAAUACCCCUGUGAGACAUAAAUUAUUAUUUUAUUUGUUUAAGUUGGAAACAGUUUAAAAUCUUUUAGAAUGUGGUAUUUGGAAACAGUUACCCACAGGGAAAAUGAGAAGCUGAUAUUAAAGCCUUGCGGGGUUUCGGUUGACAUUCCGGGUAAUGAAUGUCGAUCGAGACGUCGCGGCAGUUGUCACGGGCUCGAUGGGAGUUUCGGGUCGUGACACUUUAUUUUUUAGUAUAUUGCUUGUUUAAUGAUACGUGCACUAGUGUGGAUAAUCUGACAACAAAUUUUUGGCAUCAUUGCUAGAGAGUUGAUUUUUAAUUAUUUCUUUUUAAUAUUAAUGCCAUGCAUUCUUAAUCUUAAUUUAGACUUUUCUUUUCAUUCUUUUCAGGUACUUUUAGUCUUUGUAUGUGAAAAGCCCAAAAUCUGGAAAUUGUUCUUUUUGAUCAAAAAUUGAAAAGAAUUUUUGAAGACUUUAGAGCAAAAAUCAACAAGUUUUUACGUAAAGCAAAACAAUGGCUAAUCAAUAAAGGGAAGAGACCAAGUCUUUGAGGGAAUAUGCUAUCACACUAGUAUAAGGUCUCCACUUUACUAUCCAAAGAUCUCUUAUUCAAGCCAACAACUUUGAAAUUAAACCAGCAAUCAUUCAGAUGAUUUAGAUUUUUGUUCAGUUUGCAGGUUGACCUAAUGAUGAUCUUAAUGCUCAUAUUGUGAAUUUCUUAAAAAUUUGUGACACAUGCAAGGUUAUUGGUGUUAUUGAUGAUGCCAUAAGAUUGAGGCUUUUCCCUUUCUCACUAAAAGAUAAAGCAAAGAGUUUGUUAAAUUUGCUUAUUACUGGUUCCAUUAGUACUUGGGAUGAUUUGGCUAAAAAAUUCUUAGCAAAAUUCUUUUCACUUGUUGAAAUUGUAAAGAUGCGUGAUAACAUCACCUCUUUUAUGCAAUUUCAUUAUGAAUCCUUGUAUGAGGCUUGGGGGAGGUAUAAGGAUUUGUUAAGAAGGUGCCCUCACCAUGGGUUACUUAACUGGCUAUAAGUUCAAACUUUUUAUAAUGGUUUCUUGGGACCUAUUAGAACCACCAUUGAUGCCAUAGCUAAAGGUGCACUUAUGAGUAAAUCCAUUGAUGAAGCCUAUAAUUUGCUUAAGAAGAUGGCUUCCAAUAAUUACCAAUGACCAUUCGAAAGAUUGGGUACAAGAAAAGUUGCUGGUAUUCAUGAGCUUGAUGCAAUCAAUGCAUUGACUUCACAAUUGAUUGCUUUCACCAAGAAAAUUGAUACAUUGAGUGUUAAUGUAGUUCAGAGCCUUUUUAUGACUUGUAAUUUUUGUGGGGAAGGACAUUCCAGUGACCAUUGUCCCAUUUAUAGUAGAAUGACAUCAUGUUAGAAAUAGACAACCAUAAAAUAAUCCUUAUUCCAACACAUAUAAUCCGAUGUGGAUGAAUUAUGUUAAUUUUUCUUGGAACAACAACCAAUCAUCUUCAUCAGCUCCUAAGCCAAAUUUACCUCUAGGUUUUCCACCACAAGCAAAAGCUUUAAUGUUAGAGAAAAAGCUUACUAUGGAGGAGAUGUUCAUUAAAUUCAUGGCAAAGAAUGAUGCAAUCAUUCAAAGGCAAGUAGAAUCAAUCCAAAAUCUUGAGACAUAAGUGGGUCAACUAGCUAAUGCCAUCAAUAGUAAACCUCAAGGUAUUUUAACUAGUGACACUGAACCAAAUCCAAAGAGAGAAGCUAAGGAACAUUGCAAUGAAAUAAUUAUCUGUAGUGGUAAAGAGGUAAUUAAUUUUGCUAAAAAAGAAAUUGAAAAGUUUGUUGAAAAAAAAGUUGUGAUUGAAAAUUUUGUUGAAAAUCUGAGGAAAAAUUAGAGUUAAAACCUACACCAACAUCUCCACCACAUUUUCUUCAACAUUUUCAAAAGUAGAAACUUGACAAACAAUUCCAAAGAUUUCUUAAGGUAUUUAAAAAGUUGCACAUUAAUAUUCCUUUUGCUGAAGCUUUUGAACAAAUGCCAAGUUAGGUUAAAUUCUUGAAAGAAAUUUUAACCAAAAAGAGGAAAUGAGAAGACUUUGAAAAUCUAGGGAGUUUUUCUAUUCCUUGCACUAUUAGUAGUUUUAAAAUUUCUAAAGCUUUGUGUGAUUUAGGUGCUAGUGUUUCAAGAAUAUCUCUUUUUAUUGCUAGGAAACUUGGAUAUAAUGAGAUACAACCUACUACAGUUAUCUUGCAAUUAGUAGAUAGAACAAUCAGACACCAGUUGGGAUUAUAGAAGAUGUUUUGGUGAAAGUUGGGUGUUUGUACAUAUCAAUGGACUUCAUUAUGCUUGAGAUUGAAGAUGAUGUUGAAAUUCCUCUUAUUUUGGGAAAACCAUUCUUAGCUAUAUUUAGAGCAAUUAUUGAUGUGAAGAAUGGCAAAAUAACUCUCAAAGUUGGAAAGGAGGAAGUAGUGUUUAAUUUGUUUAAUGCAACUAAGUAUACCAAUACAGAUAGUUGCUAUAAAGUGGAUUUAGUUAAUGAGGGUAAAGGUAAGCCUAUUCCACCACCUUCAAUGAAGCAAGCCCCAACUCUUGAGACAAAACCACCACCACCUUCUAGUCAUCUUGUCUUUGUGGUUGGAUAGCAAGUAGUAUUUUUCGUUUCACAACUCCAUAUUUUUCCCUGGAAACUUAAACCAUAUUGGUGCAAAACCUUCAAAGUGGUAAAGUUUCAUCCUUAUGAUGUUGUUGAGAUUUAUAGUGGACUUAUCGGAGCAGUCAAGGUCAAUAAAGAAAGUCUUGAGCCUUAUAAAGUAGUGUAGAAAAAGGUGCCAUAGUCAAGCUAAUGAUGAUGAAGAAGCGCUUCUUAGGAGGCAAUCCAAGCUUUCGGUACUCUUAUUUUUAUUUUAUUUAUAUUUCUACAUCAAUCUCUAUUUAUUUAUUUAUUUUUAAUUAAAAAAAUCCUCUUACAAGUGCCAAAGAGGAAGAUGACAAUAAGGAAAAAGAGGAGGACAUAGAGCUUCUCUAAAUUCAUCUAACUACUAGGUGAGUAUUCUUUUACCUUUCCUUUAUUUUUUCUAACAUUGAGGACAAUGUUUAGUUUAAGUUUAGGGGGGAGAAUAUUUUUCUGGUGAUGAAUAUUCUAUGGAAGUUUUAGAUUUAAUUUUAAUUAUUUGCAUGCUUUUAGCAUUAGUUUUAGAAUCUAGAGUAAAAUUGUGCUAAAAUUUUUGAUGAUUUCUUUAUCUAAUGAUGAUAACUAGUUGUCUUGUAUCUUUAGCUUUAGGUGAAUAAGGUUUUAGUAUGGAUUCAUGCUAAAUUCUUUUGUUUAGAAUCAUUGUUAAGAUGUGAUUUCCACAAUUUUGAGCAUUUUAUCUUUUGCUUUGAAUUAUUAUGAAUAUUUAGAGAAGGUUUAUAUUAAUGUGAAUUAUAAAUUAUGUCAUGAAUUUUAGAAUUUGGUUGAUUCUCUCUCUUGACAAAAUCUUAGGCAAUACUUAGUUAGGGACAUGAUUUAGGACAUUUUUGGACCAUUUGAGCCUUUGAAGCUAACCUUGAUAUAUUUUUAUCCCUAGUAUACCCCUUUGAGUCUAAUUUCCCUUUCCUUUGUUUAACUACGUAAUAAUAAGCUUAGCCUUUAAAGAAAAGUUCAAAUUUUUCAACCCUCACUCUUAAGCAUGUCUAUUAUUUUAUGAAAUAUAUAUUGAGCUAAAUGCAUAUGGUAGAAAGGUGAUGUUGAUGUGAAGAAGUUCAAAAUAUUAAAAAUUACUCCACCACCUACAAUACAAAGAAAUAAGUUUGGGGGUGUGAAAUUGUGGUGAAAAAAAAAGAAAAACAAAAGAGGAAGAGAAAAAGUAUAAUAAAGUGUUGAACAAAAGAAAAAGUUUGAAGAGAAGAAAAGGAGUUACUUGGAGAAUGAAAAUAAAGCUUUAUAAAGGCCUUAGAAGGAUUAUGUGUUUAGGGUGAAUUGGACCAAAUUAUUAUCCCUUAUCUUACCUUGACCCUAACCAUACAUUACAAGCUUAAUAAAGACCUAUUGAUCCUUGACCUAGUAUUAGUCUACAUUAGUGGGGAAAGAUGAAAAGUAAACCUAUGGAGAUCUAAUACUAAUUUCAAAUUUUGCAUUGAUAACAACUCAUCCGUAUGGCAUGAUAUUUUUGAUAAGAGAUUUUAUACACACACGAAAAUCCAUUCGAGAAUGUGCUUGCAUUGGAAUUGAAACAUGAAUUUGAAUGAUGCCUAUAUGUUUCCUUAAGUUAGAGAUUGAUAGACAUACUUAUGAGGAAAUUAUAAGAGAUCAUUGAGUUGGUGCACUCUAUUUUUAAUAGUUGCUCUAUUUUUUUUGCUUUUAUCAUUUAAAUUGUUUUGUUUAAGUUAGUUUCUUUUAUACGUUUUGCUCAAGGACCUACAAAAUCUUAAGUUUUAGGGUGAGAUAACUCUAUGAUAUAGAGUUAUUUGGACUAAAUUUUGAUAGUAAUUUAGCUAAAUUUUAUAGUAAUGCAUAAAAAUUAAUAUGUUUUAUUUAAUUAUUUUAAGUUAGUUAAUUUGGUGAGUCAACUUAAUCCUAGUUAAAUUUGUGUCAAUAUGCCUAAGAUAUUUUAUUAUUGAUUAGUUUGCUGAUUUUGUAGGUGUGCAAUCAAGAUGAGAGUUCAUGAGAUGUAGACCUUCACUACACAUGUCUUGGUAUUGCAAUCAUAACUCUAUCUACAGAACUCCAAAUGAGGUGAUUCUUGGACCAUUGGAAAGAUAUGAGGAAAGGAUACGACUUUUACAGUUACCACUUCGCCUAGUUCAGCAUGGAAUGUAGUCAAACCCCUUGUCUAUUUUGAGGCACUGUAGUAGUCCUAGAGUGAAAAAUUAAAUCACGAUCUUUGUAAAUUAAAUAAUUAAGCACAUAGUUUGAUGAGGAAAUCCUUGUUAGAAUUGACUUCUUUAUGCACCUAACUUGGCCUAACUUCAAAGCCUUAUUAAAGCAACCUUUUAGUCGAAUUUUAGAGGGAUGAAAAAGCACAAGAUUUAGAGCUAAGAUUCAACCACAAAAUCAUUGAAGAAAAGUCUCAUUAGAGCUGAGAAGAAAUUGAAGGAUUCAAGAAGAUUUGGAGAUCAAGAUUUCAACUCUUGGAGUUUCUCUAUUGUUUUUGUUAUUCUUUAAUUUUCUUGGUUUGGUUUCAAUGUUUAAACUUUAUUUGAUGUUUAUUUGUGACAUUAUGGGGAACUAAUUUAAUUAUCUAAGAUUAUGAUUAAACUCAAUAUGCAGUUUGAAUUAUUUAUCUCUCUUUUGCUUAUGUUUGAUGGUUUUAAGUUGUCCAUUCUAUUAUGAUCUUAAUGCUUCUAAUUGCUUGACCACCAAUUGGAGUGAAUUGGAAACUUAAGUUAAACGUUGACAAUGGAGAUUUAGGGUAGACCUUGAAUAGAAUAGCAUAUGAUCGAAUGCUCUUAGUAGAUUAGGUGGUUUGAUUUGUAUAUAGGGUAGACAUACAUGUAUAAGCCAUACAUAGCCAAGAUUGGAGUAUUAACUUAAUGAAUCUUUCUUCAAUUUAAUUUUCAUAGACAUAUAGUAAGUUAAUUGGGAGAGAUAUUUUUAUUUGAAACUUGAUAGAGACUUGUAAAUAAUUUAGGACUCUAGGUUUGCAACUUAAUCUAUUGAAUUAAGUUAAAAGAGAGAUACAAUAUUCAAAUGAAUUAUUAAGAGAUAUCAUACUAUUAGGUCAGGUAGUUGAUUGAAUUUUUAAAACAAAUUUGCUGAUUAAUUUUGGAUGAGUUUUAGUUUUAGUUUGUUAGAUUUAAUUUUACUUUUUGAUAAUUUAAAUUUGAUUGUUUGAAUAAGAUUAAGGUGUGUUAAUUUUAGUACUUAACAAUAGGAAUUAAUUCAAUUCUUUGUGAGAUCGAUACUCUACUUUUGACUAUAUUUGUCACGACCCGGAACUCCCAUCGAGCUCGUGAUAACCGUCGCGAUGUCCCAAUAGACAUUCAUUACUCGGAAUGCCAAUCGAAAUCUCGCAAGGCUUAACAUCAGUUUUCUUACUUUUCUUGUGAGUAUUAGUUACUAAAAUCAUGUUUUAAAGUGACAUGAACCUAUUUCAAUUCAAAAACAGUCAAAGAGAAAUUUCAACUACACAGGGGUAUUUUGGUCAUUUUUUUUCAAAAAUUUUGAAACCAGCUAAAACGUAAUAUAUGAGAGAAAUUUACACAUUUCAUAGCAAAAAAUAAGUUUAGAUAUAUAAAACAUUAAUUUAAAGUGAAAUUAUAGCUAAUGGAAUAAAAUAAAAAUAAUGAAUAAAGUAUUAUAAUUUUUCAUAAAAUAAUUUUUAUAGAACGCUACGUAAAUAAUUUUUUUACAACAUAAAAGCAAAAUAAAUUCCUACAUACAGUAACACACACAACCAGGUAUUCAAAACAUUUAACAAUGACAUGUGGGCCCCCGAAUGACUAAAAGUAAUGAAGGUUGUGAACCUACAGUUUUUGAGGAUGCAAGUCCAAUUGUAGCCCUCAACGAAAUGAGCUAUCUACCAACUAUCUUGAGCCUGAAAUGGGUGGAAAAGAGGGUGGUGAGAUUAUAUAAUCCCAGUGAGUAAGCAAAUAUCAUCUAAAAUAUCUAAAGAUGAGUAAAUGGAGACAGAUAAAAUAUAUUAACAUAAAAAUGAUUCACAACAUUUUGAACUCAUUUUAAUAAGAUAAAAUAGAUUCAUUUCACCCAAAUAAAUAACGAGGCUUAUGAUUUCCUGAAAAGCUUGGCUCGUGCCAAAAUCAUUUUCAUACUCAAUUGUCAAGGAUACCUUGGCCUGGGGCUAUCCCAACCGAAUUCGCCAAGGCUGUUAAAAAGUCAUGUAUGCAUAAAUCAUGUUUUUAUUUUGAAAAUAUAGUCGUUCCUUGGCGUUGGCUAAGUUCACCGUCACGUGGUGGUUUGCCGUGAAGUGAACUCUAAAGUUUUACCUCAGAAGUUACCCUACGUGCCUCUCUGGUCGAGGUAAGAAUAUACCCGAAUUCUGUGCCCCUCUAAUAAGUUGGUGCAUAGAACCCGCCACUGCAGUGACCAAUCUAUAACCCACUAAUUUAAUAAAAGUUCAACAGCAUGACAUGGCAAUUUUAUCAUUACCCAGCCUAUCAAGGCAAAGAACAUUUUAUACAUUUUCAACACAAAUACCCAUCCAGCCAUUCAUGCCCACAUUAUCAUAAGCCAUUCAAUUCAAACUAUGAUUUAUAACACAACAAGUAGUCUCCAAUUACUCCAUUUUCAAAACCAUCAUUCAAUUUCAAGACAAUUUAUAAAAUCAUUUCAUUUAAUCACAUUUUGCUUAUAAAACAUAAAGAUUUACCAUUUAAACUCAUUUUUCUAUCAAAUCACAAAAACAAAUUAAAAUUCACUUCAGAUAAUCAAGAUGAUGAUAAGGUUACUCAUUGUAAUGGGAAUCGAAUUCGGGAUAUUCUGAUUCUUGAUCCUCAGAUACUACCUUUUUACUCUUGCUAGAAUGCUCACCACCUAGAUAUAAUGCGCAAUAAGCAAUUUGCUACAUUUGUGCUAAAUCGUUGUAAAACUAAUUCAGGCUCUAUACUAAUGCAUGAAAUGGAAUGCGAAUUGUUCGGAUCAUCGUCUAAACACGGUGUUCUACAUAAAUUCAAUUGUGUACCUAAAUAAAAUGGUAUUGGCCUAAUUCGAUCUAUCACCCGAUUAAUUGGCCAAUAUGUCCAAUUUAACUCCAAAUAACUCCAUUUCUCUCCUAAUACUCCAAAUCAUCAAACUCAAGUCAAGUAACAUAAAAUUUAGUAAGAUCAUCUUCACAUUUCUUCUUGGGAAUUUCGGCCAUGGUGGGUGCAUGAACACUAUGGUUUUUCCCACUUGAUUUUUACACCAUAAAUCAUUAAUUCCUAACCAAAUCACUUGAAAUAAAAUCAAGUCCACCAUCAACACACCAUAGGAAAGAUUCGACCAAUGGAGGGUGAUGGAAGAAAAUGAAUUUUUCUUGUUUGCUUUUCAUGCUACACAUCACUAACUAACUAAAAACACUAGAAUAUAUUGAAAUCUAACCAAAUCCAAGUUCAAAACUCCUCCCCCCAUGUCUGGCCAGCAAAGGUAUCCUCAUGCAAACUUGAUUCUCAACCAUGGAAAAUGAAAAAGAAUGCAUAGGAAAGGUAGAUCACAAGCUAAAAUUGAAAAAUCUUACCUUUUGUCACUUGAUUCUUUGAAAUUUUGUGAAUUUCUCUUGAAUUUCUUAGCUAGGUUUUUGUUCUUCUUCUUUUCUUCCCUUUUCUU